GUGGUGCAUGCAAAGCUCUGUGCACCCAUAUCCUGUCUCAUUACCCAGCCCAGAACUAGGUGGGCAUAGCUCUGGACUCAGUGUGAGGCUCAGUGAUUUCUGCUGCUCUCCACCAUAUUCUCCUCCGCAUCUCUUCAUAUAACUCUACCUUGGUUCUAUGUCUCCUUCAUUCACUCAUCCGCAUUCUCUUUGUGAACCUUACUCCAGUAUCUGCCCCAGUGCCUGGUCUCUAACAGAAACCCUCAACAUGGCUGUUCAGUGAAUGGACAAUCGGGAGCAAUCAUCAAGUGGCUGUUACCUCCUGUGUCUUCCUGAUAAGAGCUCUGCCACAGCCUCUUGCUUCUCUGACUAAGAGCCCGCAAGGACAGCCCAAUUGGGGAGUCCUCAGAAAUAGCACCCCCCAGGCAUAUGAAUUCCUAGUUCCAAAUAAAAUCAAGCAGAGGACCCAGAAAACUUCCAAGAAAUGAGCUCUAUUCCUCCCCCAACUGGAAAAGUUACACAAAAGAAUAGGUUGGGCUAGCCAUUAAACCUACCACCCCAAAUUGAUGUCAAAUACUUUGUGAAAAUAAAUAGAUGGAGAAAGAGAUUAAGUGAUCUUGAAAGUUGUAUAUGUGGAUUUAUUUGUGUAUUCAAUAUAUAUGUAUGCGUUCAUAUAUAUAUAUGUGUGUGUACCUAUAUAUAUAUAAAGAAGGAUUUAUUAAUUUCUGGGGUUAUUAAAUAAUCUAUAAACUAAGUGUCUCUAGAUUCUCUUAUUUACUUAUUAUAAAAAUAUAGUCAUAUAUUUACUAUUAUCUAUUACUGAUGAUAGAUAGAUGAUGGAUAUAUAGUUAUAGAUAGGUGGAUUAUUGGAUAAAUAAAUGGAUAAAAUAAGUCCCAAGCUUAUUUUGCUCACAGUUUUUAAAUAUGGUUAUUUUGCUUACAGUUUUAUGUAUGGUAGUUGAGCUCUUUUAUGAGAAUGAGAAUGUAUAGAAACAAUCUGUAUUCUUGCUCAUUCUUCAUUCUUAGGGUCGGUGGAACUACAAGAGCCAUAAAUGAUCACCACUUAACCAAAACAGAGAGUGAUCUCUGACUUGGUGGUGGAACAAGAAUAUUGAUGUGAUAUUUUGCUCCUAAGAAGAUAAGAGUUGCCAGAGAGCCUGUCAGCAACGUGGGUCAAAGCUCAGUGUCUCCAGCACACAACACAGACUACACAGUGCACAGUACAAUUCAGGAGAGUAGCUGACCGGCAGUACAUGCACUUCCACGGAUCUCCAAGCUAGGUACCAUUCACUGUACCAUAUGCUGGUGUCUUUAAGUAACCCAUUACACAGAAAUUAAAUAUCUUGUGACAGAUUGUUUUGACAGUGAGGAGAAAAAAAGAAAGCAGGACAGAGUGGGAGCGAUUUAAUUUUUUUUUUUAAUGCAUUUGACUGAAGGCAAAACGUUAGGUAGAUGUUAAUUUAACAGAUGUCUAGUUUUGCAUCAUCAGCCUGAAACGGGCCAUUGCUGGCAAGCCUUCCCACCACAUCGCAACACAAAAUCCUCUCCAAUCCACAGGGAUCUGCCUUUCACAACCUUCCAAGUGAGCCAUUUUUAUUCAAAGGAAAAUGCCUGAAAUUACCCAGGGAAGAUGCUAACACCUGGCAAUAGUUUUGAAGGCGGAGUCCAUGAAUGCACGGAGGUAUAAUGGAAGGAAAGAGAGCUCACAGCAACUUUUCAGCUGAGAGAGAACACAGAAGGAAAUGUAUUCACAACAAGAAAACAGCUAACACAUCACAAAGUUACUGUGUGAUGAAACACACCCCCACGCUCACUGGUGGAGGCUUCUGGGCUGUACAUAGAGCAUCUGUGUCCAUCAAAUCUAAACUUUAAUCUGCCUGAGAAAGGUAAAUCAAGGCCCAUUUUUUUUCCAGGUACCUUCUCUUCUGUAAGGUCCCAUGCAGCCAUAUCAGGUUGCAUCAGCCUAAUACUUCAAGGGUUAUGCUAAUAUUUGAUUUAUUUAUAACUGGAGAACAGCCAAAUGGGUAACAGUACACUCCUGUCAAAAUGUUAGGUUUGGUUAAUUAAACAUAAUUAAUUUGGAUUUUUAUACACAUAUUCGCAAUUUUUUGGACCCCAAAAUUUUUUUACAGACCCAACCAUGGCUCUGUAUUUUUUAGAAUGAAGGCACUCACAUGAGUCUUGUGUGGUUUCGGUGUGUGGGAACCUAGGAAAGGGAGAGCCCUUCACACAAAACAAAGGAUAACAGAUUUGGGGGCAGUGACAUGGCAUCCUCAGCCUUUUCAAGUCAAGGAGGUGUUGCUAUUCACCCACUGGUAGGUUCGGUGGGAGGGUCCAAACGUCACUCUCCUGUGAUUGGCUGAGUGGAAAUAGCAUCACAGCAUGGUCCUCAGCCCAGCUCUCAUUGCAUCAGACAUUUCUAGAAAAUAAAGAGGUAUAAUAGCAGGGGGUGUGGGGUUUGACAGCAGACUUCUACUCUGAAUGGUUAAUGACCUAUUCUUCAGAUCAAAGGCUUCUAUGUAGUUCUGUAGGAUUAUUAAUUAGCACUACUUAUUUUCAUGCACAGCUCAUAUAAUAAAGCAUUUUAUUCUCAGUAAACCCAAACUUUCAUUGUUCCUCCUGUGCAACACCCCAGCUUUCCAACAACUACAAAAUGCAUGAGCUGCUUCUGGUUGUGUAUGAGUGUGUAGUCAUUUGAUUCAGCAAUUUUUAUUUUUAGAUAUUUAAAGUAAAUGGCCUAUAUCUUGUUUUCUGACAGAAUUUGGCAAAAGGCCAUCUUUAAGGGCUGAGAGAGAUUAAUGAUAUUAUGGCAACCUUUAGAGAAUAAAGCAAAAUUGGUCUAGUCUCCAAGCAAUUCAACAUAAGGAUAGUGCAUGUGUGUGCGUGUUCCUGUGUGUGCGCACACACACCUGCAUGUGCCUCUGUGACAUGUAAUAAAUACCGAGUUGCAGAACACCGUCCCCAGGUGAUAACCGUUUUACUUUACAAACAUCUCAACCAACCAUGGGGAAUGUAGAAAUUAGCCUUGUGAAUUCAAAGAUGCAAAGAUGCUUAUUAGAGAACAAAAUUCAAAAGGGAGGCAGACAGUUUACACACUCCUUCUCAUGAGAGCAAUACCAAGUCAAGGACAUGAUCUGAAAUUGAAAAAAUUGGUAGGGAAAAAUUUUAAGCUACUGUGGGACUACAAAAAGAAUAAAAAAAUUCUGUCAACACAAAAGACCCCUUUCUCCCUCUCUGAAAUUCUAAUCCAGUAAUCAUGUCUGCCUUCUGAAGCAUCUUUCAUCUGCCUAUCUCAAAGUCCUUUAUGGUAUUAAACACUCACUGAAUCCCUGAGGUGGGUAAAAUUAUUCUAGUCAUUUUACAAAUGUAUCUAGUCUUUCAACCCUCUUAUUCCAAGCAGUGAUAAGUCUGGGAAUAAAAAUAUCGAGAAUCGAUGAAUGACCACAGUCCUUAUUCCUUUAACCUGCAUUGUAAUUACUUAGGAGAACAGGCCUUGAUUCGCUCUGGGAAAGUGCUGAGAUGAAUUGAAUGUAAGGUUUUGAUUUGUUGUAAAUGAUCUUAAUAUAUGCCAACAUGGUUUUGUUCCUAUCCUUCCUAACUUGUCCCUUUGUCACUUAAAUUGGAAGGAUUGAAGAAUAUGUUGGAAGUAUAAUAAUAAUAAUAAUAAUAAUAAUAAUAAUGAAAACCAGGAAUAAUUCAAAGGCAAAGGAAAAAUGAGUCUUGGAGCUUAUUUUCACAUCUUCACAUCUUAGAGAAAAGUAGACACUACACUGUUAUCCUCGUGACCUUGAUGAAGACCUAAGGCCUUUAUGAUAUAGUUAAAGACAAGGUUAAAUUAUGUAAACACCAAAGUUCUGCUGUGUAGUAUAUGAAUCCAAAUUUAGAGCCAAACUAGUUUUAUGUUUUGGCAUGAAUCUGAUUUAUGAUCUAAAAGGAAAAGAAUUAAGAUAAAUAUUUCAAAAUAUUUCUGAAAACUAAAGUGUACUGAGAAGCAUUGAUGAAGCCAGACAGCUUUUUAUUCCCUUGAAGAGAAAACACCCUGCUCAUCUUCCAGUGCCAGAGAGAUGAUGAUUUAACAACAACAGCAACACAAACUGUUAGGAUGCUUAAUCUUGAACUUGACUGGCUUGAGAAUCACCUAAGAGAUGGCUGAAGCAGCGCUGUGUCUCUAAGAGUGUUUUCAGGCUGGAUCAUCUGGAGGAAAAGGGAGCUAUCCUGAAUGUGGGCAGCAUCCUUUGAAGACUAAGCAAGGAGGAGACCUGCUGAGCCAUGCAUAAGCCCUGCUUCCUAACACUUCCCACCUACUAAGAAGUGAGGGAUCUCUCUGCCACAUGGUUCUGCCUCCACCAUUUUCUGCAUUCAAGCACACAGAGCCUACCCAGAAGCAACUUUGAAACAAAGAACCAAAAGAAAUAUUUUCUUCCUUAUAUUCUUUCUUAAUCCAACAGAGGCGAUAAAUGCAGCUAAUAUAGGGACAGCCUUCAAGGUUAAGUUCCAGUAAAAUGACCCGGGCUCUGAACAUCUUGUUAGUUAUGGUUGCAUCAGAUGUGAACACUGUAGCAAGGGAAGAUGUAGAACGUUUAUAUUCACAUUAUCCAGGAGGCGAGGCCAGUAUGAUGAGAGAGCUGCUCUUUAUGGGGAAGGGGGAGAGAAAUAUGACCUCAAUGAGCCUAAGCUGUAUAAUCAAUCGCACACUGGAGUUGACAGAGAAGUUAGCACAGUCAUUGAAUGUGAAAAUCUCUGCUUUCAAGAGAUGGGAUGCUAGGUUGUCAUUAUUCCUACCUUAAAGAGCGCCUCCUCUCUGUUUUAAUGUCAUUCCUGCCAAUGUCUCUCCAUAGGACAUCUAAAUCAUUACACUAGGAAAUGCAGGCACCCAUUCACGACCAAUCCUACCUGUAUUUUUUUUUCCUGAGGAUUACAUCUCAAAGAAUAUUUACCUCCUGUGCAACCUUCUGUCAUUUCUGUGUUCCAUUCAGCAGUUAGCAAAGGCUUACCAUUAGUCAUCAGAGGGGAAAUCUGAGUUAACCACAGCUCCGACUCCAGUUCUCCAGAAAGUUACCUUUCAAGUCAGAGACCGAGGCUCUGACAACAAGUUCAUGGUCUAGGGCUCUUAGGUAUAUUGUGUCAUUUGUGGCAGACACUUCUAAGAAGUGAUGACUCACAAGGUGCAGAAAUAUUUUAAAAGUCAGAUAUGUAGUUCUGGUAGCUAACACACAAAAAAAGGAUGUUAGAUGUCUAACCCGACAGCACAUGAUAGGAGUCGCUUGUUUUUCGGGUGUUCCCUUCUGGGUAUCCCAGCAUGGCAAGUAUGUAAAGACUGGAGGAAAAAUAAUGGUUCAAAUCCAUUUUUGCCAAGUUCUAGCCCAUUAACUUCGAUGUUUAAGUUUCUUUGAGUCUCGUGUUGCCACCUAUAACUUGCAGCUGUGUAUUUCCUAACAAAUGAGAGUGUUCUGAACAAUGAAUACAUUGAUUUCUAUGUAACAAGCACCACAAACCUUCUUCUAUUCUGGCCAUUAGUCUACAUGGUGAUUACAGUCCUCUCCUUUAUGGCAGUCUAUAUUUUUUCUUAACAGUGUUAUUUCUAUCAGGGGUAUAGAUAGCUUGUCAAACCUUCUGCACAUGGGGAUAAUUUACUCGUGGAGUAUAGAAGCUAUCCCUGACCAGAAGUCUCGGCAGUAGAUAGAACUGGGAUAUGUAUGCCCAAAUCUGGGAGAACAAAUGCAGUGUGAGUACAGAGUACUUUAAUAUGGCCUAGUAAAGGCUCACAAACUUAGGAUGUGCCCAUGAAAUCAGAAAAACAUAAAUACUAUGUGAAAGCACAAAUCAGAUUUUAGUGUAAAUGGCUUCUGUUGAUGUCUUUUUAUUAUAUCUGAUGGGCAAUGCACCAUCAAGAAAUCAUAAGUUCUUGAAGGUGUAGAAAUUAACUAUGUUGGUUUUCUUCAUCUGGAAAUGCUAACAACUAAAUUCUUCUGAGAAGGUUUCUCUAGUGGGACUGCUCUCCUCCAUAUCUGACUUUCACACACACACACACACAGGUGCUUUGGUAUUUUACUUUAAAGAGACUGGCUGGUCUUUGCUCAUAACUCUAUGGUUUUAAGGUGGCCAUUUAAAAAGAUAAUCAAACCCCCAGACUGCUUGAAUUCAAUCUUGGAAACAAAAUACAUGCCAGUAUGUGUUACGCAUUAAACUACAGAAAUUGUGGUUGGCCUGUCAAAAAUAAUGUCAUGUUUGCUUUAGGAUGGCCUAUGGAGUGGCAUCAUGAUGGGUUUACUGUGGACAUUUACUAAGCUCAAUGAGAGUCAGAGCACCUAGCUUCCUUCACCUUUAGUGCAGCACAGCAAUAAUAGCCAGCUUAGCCGCAGAAAUCAAUUAGUAGCAUUUAGAGAAUAUUUGCAGUAACUUUCAAAGGGGCGCUGAAUAAUUGCUAUAUCAUAUUAUGGAAAGCGGGCUAGGUGUUUAGGGGCUAGUCUAUUAAGAAAACUCAACGUUUGUAAAAUACCCUGCAAUAGGAAGCAUGGAGUUAUUCGAAGACAUGUUAAUUUUAUCCCCCAACUCCAAACACAUCCCUUCACAGGACAUUUUACUGCUUGCAAUUGUAUCUUAUAUGGCUGUAUCUGUUUUCAUUUAAACAUUUUAUGUCUCCCUAUAGGACAUCAGCUGUAUGUGGGCAGGGGUUUGCUUUACUACUGUUGGCGCCCAGUGGCUGUCUUCCCACAGGCACACAGUACACAUUUGAUGAAAGCAUGAAUGAAAGACGAAUAGAUGAAUGAAGACACAGCAUAGUUAUAUAUAAACUACACGCAGACGAGCCUGAAUGUUUUAAAAGCCAAAGCCUCAUGACACAAGAGAUAUAAUAGAAUAAAAGUGCCCAUGAUGAGUUCCAGAGCAGAUGAUGUAAAAUCAACCCUCUCCGCAAUUGAACCUAUACACACCCCACUGUAGCUAUCAAUAUUUCCAUGCUAUAAUAUGAUAUUUUAAAUGUACCCCUGGUAUUAUUAUGCUAAAUAGCACCAUUGAUUUCUUUGCAGUUUAAUAGGCUGCUCAAAUCUGCACAGCUAGGCAAGACAUCUUCCUCUGUGGCCUUUCCAUCAUGAUAUACGAAGUAUCAUGUUCUAUGCAGACACUUCUCUUCUGGCUCCCAUGUCUAGAUCACUAAACCAGCAAAUAUUUAUGCUUUAUUUCACAUGAGAGGGUCAAGUAUACACAACCAUGGGAUGACUUCAGUGGCAAGUUCAGCUUGGUGAUGGAGUUAUGAAGCUGCGAUUGAUUGAAAGCUUGGUAGACUUUGCAAUUUGAACUCUGUCUAUCAAAAGGGGAGGUUGAAGUCCUAAUGCCUAGUACCUUAUAACGUAAAUUCAUUUGGAAAUAGAGCCCCUAUCGACAUAGUUAUUUCAAUUAAAGUAAGAUGACAGAGGUGAGGGUGAACCUUUAAUCGAGUAUGACUGGUGUCAUAACACAAUGACAGUAGAGGAGGAGAAUGCCUCACAGUGACACACAGGUAGGCCAUCAAAAGGAAUAGAUCAGAGGAGUACAAUUCCAAGCCGAAAGAAUACCAAGGGCGUGGCACCAAAGCACCAGAAGCUAAGAUGAGCCCAGAAAGGAUUCUCCCUUAUAGACUUCAAAGCAAGCAUGGUCCUACUGGAAUCUUAACUUUGGUCUUCUAGCUUCAAGGAUUAUGAGAAAAUACAUUUCUGCAUUUUUAAUCCCCUCACUCUGUGCUAUUUCAUCCUGAUCACCCUAUGAAAUUGAUGUAAUAGAAAUUGCACCCCAUAUAGAAGAGAGAGAAAAAACAUAUUUUAGGAUUAUGUUUAUUUAUCCUGCCAGAAAGUGGUACCAACAAUCCAGGAAGUCUUUUCCAAUUUGUAUGAUGAUGACACCACGCGGAGCAGAACGUAACCCACCCAUUUGUUGCUUCUUAGUAAGCCUGAACUCUUAAGCUAGAUAAGAAGCCUAUAUUCCAUUGCACUUUCUGGAGGAUACUGUCAGCCAGGCCUCAGGAAUUUCUGAUUCAGUGAUACUAGAUGACAACUGAAAAAAAGGUAUCUCUGUCUGUCUCCUGAGGAUGCUCAUCAAGUUGGUCUAGUGACAUUACUUUCUGAACUGUUGCACUGAACCAAUCAGCCUCCACUGAAGCUCAGAGAGGAUUCUAGUCGCCGACUGAUCCAAAACCAGGAAAAUAACUGCUCUGUUGACCCAGAAGCUUCUGAGUUUGUGAACCAUUGGUCCACAGAAAAAAAUAACUAAAACUCCAAGUCAUGCUGGCCAUCUAAUCUUCUACUGCAAACAUGCUUACAUCGACAGGAAGAAAAUAAGAAUAUGACAGCAAGCAUCUUAGUUACUAAAGCAAGUUUUUAAAAAAGGGUUGGUUAAGUGGUGAUCUUCCCCUCUCUUUCAGCUUCCCUGAUACCAUGGCCCCAGUCACAUUCCCAGAUCUGUAGCAGACUCCUUGCUAAAACCAUCUUCCCUUCUUGUGCUUCUUGUUCAUGGGAACCCACAGGCCACACAGGCCAGGGAAGCAGGUAGAGCAACUUUAGACCUUCACUUAUCUCUCAGCUCCUCCACAUCUAAUCACCUAGUCUCCUCUUCAGUUUUGCAGCAGACCGUCUGCUGAGGCUGACUUCCCCAGCCAUCUCCAGUGGAUCACACAGAUCUUCCUGCUCCAACCUUCCCUUCCACCUUCUCAUUGCUUGGUUUCAUCUCCAAGAUCCAGCAGGCACUCCCUAGGAACCCACAGGCCACUCUUCCCAGGGAAAUGAGCAAUUAGGCUAACUGCAUAUCUUCGCCUCUGCCCAUUCCUCCAAGACCAGUCACCCCAGUCUAAUCCCAGCUUGGUAGCAGAACUUCUGCUGUGCUUCUCCUUGCUCUCUACCCCCAUUCUCAGGUGACUUGACAGAUCCUGGUGGAAAACUUCAAUUUCCUCAGUCCUGUAGACUCCCCUGAGUUCAUACUUGUUUCUAAAUCUCAGCCACCAAUACCCAGAAACACAUUUUACCUAGAAACUCCAGUGGCUACACUAUUAGAAUCCCAGAAGAAUUUCCUCCCAGGCAACACACACCUGUCACACUGUCCCAAGAACCAGAGAGGGAAACAAAAACUAAGGAACAAAACACCCACCCAACAAAGACAAGACCAGAUAUCAGCACCUAGACUUACAAUCUUCCCCCAGAUGCCUAGACGCCAGCAUAAAAGCACAAUCAAUAACAGCCAGGACAAUAUGUCUCCACUAGAGCCCAGCAACCCUUACACAGCAGGCCUGAAGCAUUGCAACAGAGCUGAAGCACAAGAAAUAGACCUUAAAAUAGUCUUUAUGAUUAUAAUAGAGGUCCUUAGAAAGGAAAUGAAUAAAUCCCUUAAAGAUGUCUAUGAAAACACAAGCAAACUGUAAAAAUGAAUAAAACUGUUCAAAACCUGAAAGUGGAAAGACAAUCAAUAAAGAAAACCCAAACUGAGGAAAAUCUAGAAAUAAUAAAGGAUUGAAAUGAAAUCAGGGAAAAAUCACCUAUAACGACAGCCUCAAAUUAUAUAAAAGGCCUUGAGUUAUGUCUAACCAAUCAAGUGAAAGUCCUAUAUAAUAAGAACUUCAUCACACUGAAAAAGAUAUCAGAAUGUGGAAAGAUUUGCCGUAUUAAUGGAUUGGUAAGAUUAACACUGUAAAAAUCACCAUCUUACUAAAAACUAUGUACAGAUUUAAUAAAUUCCAAUAAAAUUUCAAACCCAACUCUUCACAGAUCUUGAAAAAGACUUUUUUAGCUGCAUAUGUAAACAUAAAAAGAAAAACCCAUAAUAUCUAAAACAGUCUUGAAUCAUAAAAUACUUCAGGAGGUAUAAUCACUCCCAAUUUCAAGUUGUAGUUCAGAGCUGUAGUAAUAAAAACAGCAUGGUAUUAGCACACACAAAAAGACAUCACAAUGAAAUCAAAUCAAAGACACAGAUAUGAAUCCAAACAUCUGUGAACACCCACAUUUUAAUAAAGAACCCAGAAAUACACACCUUUUUUGACAAAGACAUAAUUUUCAACAAACGGUGCUGGUCAAAUUUGAAUGGCUACAUGUAGAAGAAUCCAAACGUAUCCACACUUAACACCCUGAACAAAACAAUUCUAAAUAUAUCAAAGACCUCAUCAGAAGACCUGAUACACUGGGGCCUGGAGAGAUGGCUCAGAGGUUCAGUGCACUGGCUGCUCUUCCAGAGGUCCUGACUUCAAUUCCCAGCACCCACAAGGUAGCUAUAAUGAUCAUCUAUAAUGACAUCUGCUGCCCUCUUCUGCCCAUACCGGUAUACAUGCAGACAGAACAUUGCAUACAUAACAAAUACACCCUAAACAGUUUUGUUUUUUUAGUUUAACAGACCAGAUUCACUGAACCUUAUAGAAGAGAACUUGGGGAAUAGCAUUGAACUCAUCGGCAUCAGAAAAAUAUUUCCAAACAGAACAUUGCUAGCAUAGGCACUAAGCUCAACAAUUAAUAAACAGAGCUUCAACUGAAAAGAAUCUGCAAGGCAAAGAAUAGCAUCAUUCAGACACCAUAGCAGUCUAUAGAAUGGGAAAAGAUUCUUUUUACCAACUACACAUCCAAUUGAGGGCUAGUAUGAAAAACAUAUAAAUAACUAAAUGAAAUAAAUUUUAAGAACACAAACAACCCAGUUUACAAAGUGGGUACAUAUAUGUUAUAUAUGUUCAUAUAUGAACCUGGAAUAUUCAGAAGAGGAAGCUCAAAUGGCUGAGGAACACAUAAAGAAAUGGUUAACAUCUUAGCCAUCAGAGAAAUGCAAAUCAAAACUGCGCUGAGAUUUCUUCUUACACCUGCCAGAAUGACUAUGAUGACUAGAUCAAUAACACGUGUGACAGCUCAUACUGGUAAGGAUGUGGAAUAAAGGGAACACUCACUCAUGUAUUGUAGUGGAAGUAUCAACUUGGACAACCUAUUAAAAUCAUGGUAGUGGCUCCUCAGAUGAGAUUCAAUCUAAUUCAAAUCCAGCCAUAUGAUUUCUGGGCAUAUACCCGAAGGAAGCACCAUCUUCUCACAGAGACACUUGUGCAACCAUGUUCAUUGCUGCUCUAUUUCUAAUAUCUAAAGAUUGGAAACAACCUACAUGUUUCUCAACAGAAGACUGGAUAAAGAGAAUGUAGUACAUUUGUAUAAUGGAGUAUUACUCAGAUAUUUAAAAAAAUCAUGAAAUUCACAAGUAAACAGGUGAAAGUAGAAAAAAAAUUACUCUGAGUGAAGUAGCCAAGAUCCAGAAAAACAAACAUUGUUUAUGUAUUUGCUAAUAUGUAGAUAUUAAGUCAAUUAAUUGAUGACAACCAAGCUGCAAUUUACAGAAUCACAGAGGACAGGUAUAGAGUAAGGGAAUGGGGGAGGGGUGGGAAGAUAUAUCUCAUUGAGAAAGAAAAUAGAAGAGUUAUGGAUGGAUGUGGGGGCCUGGGACAGGAGGAUUAAGUGAAGGAGGGGAAGAGGAGAAGGGAACAAGGGAGGUAUACAGGGAAAACAGCUAAAAUCAAGGGUCAUUUGAGGGGUACUAUGGAAAUCUAAUAGAGUAGAAGUUUCCUAAAACAAUUUACAUAUCAAGGUCAUCUAAAUGGAAUCUCCAAGUAAUGAGGGAGACAGAGCCCUAACUGGCCAUCUUCUGUCACCAAGUGAAGCUUCCAUUGCUGCUUCAUUUUUUUUUUUUUUUUUUUUUUACAUCUAAUUGAGUUGAUGGUCAAAGGUGUUCUUUGGAAAUCCCUAAAGAACUCAGGAUGUUGUGAAGACUUUUUGUAGGUUGCUUUCUAUAAACAGAUGCCAAGGUCCCACUGUUGAAGACGGCCAAGGUGGUGCCUACAUAGAGCCUUCACUUCUACAUUGUAGUGUGUUUGGUAAAGGAAGGUACUCUGCAUGCUACCAAAAGAGAAACCUAAAUGUCAAACCAGUCACAAACCUUUUAAUUUAAAAUUGUGUCUUGCUUGAAAUAAAUUCUAGGGCAAUGGUAGCUCAAAGCCUGUGGGAGCAACCAAUGAAUAUUGGAUUAGCUUAAGGCUCACUCCACAAGAUGGAAUUCGUACCAGAAACUGCUUGAGUGACCAGGAACCUGAGACUAGAUAGCACAGGGACCUAGGGGAAAAAAAAAACACCCAAUACUACUAUUCACAUUAAAGGAGCUUCCUGGGAACAUGUACAGAGACCCACAGCUAGACAGGUAUUAUGCAGAGACUGAGAGACCUUGGAACACUGAGAUGUCUUCCAAAGGGAGAAGAGACAGAAAUUGUGUAAAAGCCAAAGGAGGAUACCAAGAAAACAAGGUCCUCUAAAUCAACCUUAUCAAAGCUUAUAUGAACUCACAGAGACUGAAACAUGGCCUACAGGGGUGUAUAGCUGGUCAACUGCACAUAUAUUAUGGCUUCCAGUUUAGUGUUUCUAUUCUAUUCCUGAGUGUAAAAAACAAGUGUAUCUCUUAUUCUUGUGCUUUCUCUUGGACUCUUUUCCUUCUACGUGUUUAUUGUUCAAUUCCAACCUGUUCAUUUUUCUUGUAUCAUAUUAUAUUAGUCUAUACUAUACUAUGCAUCACAUCAUAUCAUAUUAUUAUCCCUUAGAAACCUGUUAGUAUUCUAAUGAGAUACAAAAAUAUCUGGUUAGGAGGAGAAAUGGGAAGGAAGUGGGAGGAAUAGAUAUAGGGAAGAUUGUAAACAAAACAUAUUGUGUAAGAAAAGAAUCUAUUUGCAAUAAAAAUACUAUAUAUUCAAAGGGGAAAAAGAAGUCAAAAGAAGAGAAAGAAAGGUUUUACUGUGCUCAUCAUCAUGGUAGAGAAUUCAAGACAAGCAAAAGAUGAAGCAGAAAGGAUCCUGAAUCAGGAAAAAAAGGAACUCUCUCUCUCUCUCUCUCUCUCUCUCUCUCUCUCUCUAUAUAUAUAUAUAUAUAUAUAUAUAUAUAAUUUUUUUUUUGCUCACUUUCUUAUCUCCUUUAGAUUUAGUCCAGGACCCAAGCCCACAGGAAGAGUAUAGACAACCAUACUUCCUUUCUUAUGCAACUAUAUCAAGGGGAUACUAGCUGGGCAUGGCAAAAGGCUAAUCUAUUCUACAUGGUCCCAUAGAAAUGUGCCCUAGGUCUAUUUUCUGGGUGAUUUUGAACCCUGUCAAGUUGACAAUUAUUACAAAAAGCACAGAGGGGACAAAUAUAAAGUCCUUAUUUGGCUGGGCGGUGUGGUAGCAACAGUCAUGAUAUUAUCACAUAGGCUUUAAAGUUUUUAGAAACAUGUGACAUUGUAGCAUAAGCAACCCAUUUUCUCAUUUGACAAUGGCCCCAAGAUCUUUCUUAAACUUUUAGGUUUCUACAAAUCAUUUGGAAAAUACAGCAGCAUUUAAAGCCAGUCGGAAGCAGAUAAUCAGCUGUAUUUUCUCUACUAAGAGCCCUGUUCCUGGUGGUUCUACAGAUCAAACAGACCAUGUGAAGUUCUAACAGUAAACUCCAGGACAGAUUAUGUUUAUACACCCAUGUGCUCCAAUGCAGAGAUGCUCUGAAAUAGAUGCAGUGGCAUCCUCUACUUGAGUAGCGGGAUCCUUUCUCUUCAAUAUGCAGAACAUUUCAGGUGACUGGCAUCCUGUAUUUGUAGUUAUAGUCAAGAUCUCACUUCUUUCUCAUAGGGAUUUUUCCAACAUGGUGGGAACUCCCAUCCCCUGGUGAGAGAUGGUGAGAGAGGUAAGGAAUGCUGGCUUGCUCCAUGGAUUGACAGCACAUCCUUCCAUCUGCUUCAAGGUCAGUCUCCACUUACAGCUUCCCUAAAUACAACUUGCCUACAUCCCUGAUUAGUUCCAGGCUGAGUGGGCAUACUAAAUACACGGAGUGGCCAGUGACUAACAAGGGCUUUUCUGUCCUCCCCGUAAGCAUCACCCAGCACAAGGAUUACUUACAGUUGAGGGAGUGUGACCACACACUCCUGCGACUAUGAUGCCACUUCUCCUGACUUUCAUUUCAGGCAUGCAAAAUCAAUAGCAUUUAAAAAUAUUUCCCUAAUGCUCAUUGUUUCACAGAAAAAUAUAUUAAUUCUGCUUGCAGCCAUCAGAGGAAUUAAAUGGAGAACAUUAGGUCUUCCAUUAAAAGCCUUAGUUUCAAUCUCUUUAAUACUUUGCAGUGUUUGUUUCCCAAGAACCUAUAAUACAAUUUGAAUUAUGAGCAAAUUUCAAUGUGGAUAUACAGACUCUAUGGGCCAAGUCUACUAUUUACAUCACCGACAUUUGGGGUGUGUGUGUGUGCUUGUACACGUUGCUUUUAGUUUUUUAUUAAAACUCCACGUUUCUCUUAAACAAGGAGUUUGUUUUAGCUUACAGAGGAAAAUUUGAAGUUUACAAUUCGCUCCAACUUACUCCUUGAAGAAUAAAUACCUCAUCCUCUAAUUGUUUUUAACUUAUAAGAAAUAAGCUCCCUGUGGGAUUUAAUGAGUUGCCCACCACUGACUCCACAGGAUACAGUCAACAAAUUUAAUAUGUAUAUACUUAAUGAUAGAUCUGACAGCUGUGAAUUGUAAAUAGAAAUUUGGUAUAACAGAGAUUUUUACAAGAGAGAAGAAGAAUAACAUUUUUGGAAUUUCCAUUAGCAAUAAUUUUCUCUGACUCCUUUUUUUUAUUCUCAUUUUAUUAUGAGAAGAUAUGCUUUGGGGCACUUGGGGGACAAGACAAAGAUGAAGUAUGAUACUAAAAGGACAAAAAUUCUCUAUUGAGAUGAUUUUAUUUUAGUAUCAUUGAUCUUGUUGUCCAUCUAAUUGAUGAAAUGUGUGGAAACUACUACUCUUCCCAGUUGGGAGCCACUCAGUCCACCACCUAGAAAACUCUGGGAGGAAGGAGGAAGGGGGAAUUGCACACACACAAAGGCAGCUAUCUUUGUUUUGCAUCUAGGAAAAGAUAAGACCAGCAACCCAGUGAGUCAUGCAUCAGAUGAUGGACUUUCUGUAAGUAAUUUGAUUCAUUACUAAAGACCUCAGUUUGUAUAUACUUCUGAAGAGAUUCAUAAUUCCUCUAUGAUAAGUGGAAGCUAGGAAAUGUCAAGGUACUGUCCAGAGUCACACGGGCAACAAAUUAAAGAACUGAUCACUUGACUCCAACAGCUACCCUGGUGUAUGAAGAUAUUUUACUUUCUUUUAGGAAUGGGCAUAUUGUUCCCACAAAGGACCACUGUAGGCAACAAGGAACAUAGGCUCUCGGUAAGCUCUGCUCAGCUCUGCCAUUGGACCAUGUGAGUGCAGCCUCACAAAGAACUUAACAAGUGAGCUGGGCUGGAUGCAAAUCCAACUUACUUUUUUUGGACAAUAAAACCUGAAUUUAAUUGAAUUUUCAUGUGCUGUAUUUAUUCUCCUCCCUGACCAUUUAAGAAUGAAAAUAAUGUUUGGAAUCUCUAGCUAUAUAACAACAAACAGUACACAUGGCCAAAAGGAAACUCACAAAUCUGCCCUGGAAGUCCUGGCACUGGAAUCAUUGUUAAUUCCUUAAGUGUUUGGAGGGCACAAGUUAACUUUAUAAGCAAACAGUCCUGGGAGGCUCUCCCACAAUGCCUACAAUGGAGCAUGUUCCUGCCUAAGGUCUAGGGACUUAACUGAACAGGUAGCUUUACCUGCAUCAUCUUGAUAACUUUGCAUUCCUUGCUGCCUUUUGUUCUGGAGACCAAAUUUCCUCCAUUGCUGUAAUUUAAUGUUUUUUCAAAGAAAAAAAAUAAAAGUUGUAUCACUUAAAGUUACUGUACCUUAACAAAUGCACCGGAAGUGGCAGUGCUUUUGCAUGCAUGGAAGCUCAAAGCCUCAGCAACUCCCAUGAGCGAUUAAUCUUCUAACACUAAUUAGAUAUUUGCUAAUUAGCGUCUGAUGUGUGAAAUGAAAAAACAUUUUGAAGCUGAAAUGAAUAGGGUCUAGAAAGAUAGGGCUAUAUUCCAGUUCCCCCUUUUCCAUAUUAUUAUCAUAUUUCAUAAAUAUUAAUAAGAUCACAUGACGCCAGCCGCUCUAUAAAAUUAUCUCUCUGAAUGAAGGCUUUUGUUCACUAUAAUAGGGAUGUGUCAAUAUUUUGCAUAUGGAAGAAAGCACUCGAUGAAGGAAAACAUUUUUUCCUUCAAUGUUAAAGAGAUGUCAUGUUUCACGAAUCACUUUUAUGGUUGAUCAUCCACUCCUACUUUUUUAACUUGGGCCUCUUCUUCCCAUAAAAAUGGGAAGAAAAUCUUUCUUCAAACCACUGCCCUUCUCCUUCCAUACACUUUAAUCCUGCCUUGGUUUAAAGAAACCUUAACAGAACGGAAAAUAUUUUUAACCUGUGCUUCUGCGUUGGGAAAAGCAGAAGUCAUUGUAGAAUGGUCGAUAUCAAUGAGAUAUGUAUAAAAGAAAGACAUUUGAGUUUCAUUUAUCGUGUGCAGGAGGACAAUCCUAAAAAAUAACUCUAUAUGCCACGUUUAAAACACACACACACACACACACACACACACACACACACACGCACACAUGCACAGAGAACUAGAUAGAGAUUUCAGUGCUUUCUUCUCAUGUGCAGGCUAUAAUAUUCAAGUCAUAAAUAUUAAGCCAUGUUGUAUCCUCUAAAUGUAACAUUUUGAUUUGGAAUAUAGCUCAAGUGAAAGUCUAUAUUAAACAUUCCUGGUUCUUUCUCAAAAAAAAAGGAGAUCUAUAAUAAUAACCUAUUUCAGUCAGUGUGAGAUUUAUUUUUUUUUCAAAAAGCAACUCACCUGUGAAUGCUGGUCAUAUCACAAAUUAUAUCUAAUUACAGCAUUGAUACAGUAAUUUGCAAUGAUAGCUAAGCUCAAGUUGACAAAGGUGACAUUGGAACAUAAUGACGAUGAGAUUAUCAUUCUCUUAGGCUGACAUUUUGUGAUUAUAAUAAUGCUGAUCGAGAUUAUUAACACCAUAAUGAAAGCAAAGUCCCAAACUCUACAGAAAAGAGAUCACAGUAAGAUGAACAGAGUGAGUCAGAACUGAAUUCCCAUUUUCUCUCUUGCAUCGGUAUGAUUUUUCUUCUAGUACAAAAUGAGGCACACUCCUUAGUCCCAGAGACUCAUGGAAACUGCAAUUGACAGACAGCCUACUCUAUCCACAAACACAACUCUCUGCUUUUCAAAGCUGGAAAUAGAGGAUAAGGUCAUCGAUGCCAAUUUAUCCAUUUGCACUGGGGAUUGUUUUCUGAUUGGCGUUGAGGUUGAUGGUCAGUUCCCCUGUGCAAUACCCCAGUGUGCUAUCUGUUUUGGGGGCUGCCAGGAUGCUCGGCUUGAAAUCAGUGGCGCUCCCAAAGCUCUCCACUGUUCUAGACACCAAGCGAAUGGGAAUAGUCUGGCAGACAUUGCCGUUUCACUUAUCGUUAAGUGAGAAUAAAACCAGACAGCUUUUAAUUACCAACAACAGAGAAAUGAGUCAAGGGGAAUCAUACUCAAUCAAGACAUCACUAGUCAAUCCAGCAGGCUGCCUGGCUAAACUUGGGAAAUGAACCAUGUUCUCUACUCCGCUCAGAUGAGAUUAUUUAAAUGGUAUCAGGUUCAAAGUAUCUGAUGAGACUUGUAACUCCAGCUGAAUUCAGAAUCUAAUUUCAAACAGUGACACUAAGUAUGUCUCAAUUAUUUGAAAUCGCCUUCUCAACUACACAUAUAAUUUUAAAUUUGGUUUUCAUCAAUCCAUGGAGUUUGGGGUCUUAAAUUAUCAUCAUUGAUUUAUAGAUACUCACCUGGAAGCAGUUGGAAAAAAAAAAGGCUCUGGGUAGGUCAGGCACAAUUGUCCCAUUUUGUCAAUGCAGCAAGAUAUGAAGUGACAGGUUUGGACUAUAAUUUCUGCCACCUAAUUGGAAGUUUCCCAUUAUCCGACACUGUCCCACAUUCAGAAAUAUUUGAAAAGAUUCCUUCAUUCCUUAAAGUGGAAGAUGACUGCUUGUUUUACAGUUCAGUCAAGUCUUAAGGCUUCCUGAUCGACCCUUUUUGUCUUCAAGCCAUGUACUUCAAGGUAUGUGACAACGGGAAUGACCCAGUGUCCUCAAUAUCUGAUUCUUCAAUAAAUCCUUCAUUUCAUUUGCAAUUUUGAUCCCUCCACAGUCAAAAGUGAUGAUACCUAUCUAGGACAUAAUAUUGCCUACCCCCCAGAAGAAACUAUAACUUUAUUCUCUGCAAAGGAGAAUAGAAAGUACCUUGUCACUGUAUCCACAGUUAAUAUAAGAAAUAGAAAGUCAUACUCUUGUUCUGGAGAUAAAGUCCAGCAUUAAUGGGCUGGCAGAUUUCAUGGGUGAUGAAGCCCUCAUUCCCUGCUUCUAGCAUGGUGCCUUUUUGCUAUGUCUGUUGAAUCAGAUAAACACUGGGCAUUCACAUGGCAGAAGGCAGCAGGACAAAAGGAUCUAAGUUGGUUCUUCUAAAAGGCACUAAUCCACUGAUGGGGGACAGCACAGAUGAGAGUCACUCCCAGGAAGAUCCAUCUCUUAAUACCACCAUAUGGCAUUUAGGUUUCAACAGGAAUUUUAAGGAGGAUACAUCUAAAUCCAAACAUGGCUUUAGUGAGCAUCCUAAGUGAGCAUCCAUAUGUUCUGUACUUCCUCCGGACACUCUUUUUUUUCCCAUGCCUUUGCCUUUUCAGUGUUGGAGUUUCCUUUCAGUCUCACUACCAUUUUGUUAGCUUUAUCGUAUAUUUUUUUUCUCAGCUUCUAAUUUCUCCAAGGCCCUGACACUUAUGUAACUUUUUACUUUUGAGGUACAGAAGAAGAGAAAGUCAACGUUUACUGACUGUGCUUGAGCCAUCAAGUGGCUUGGAUAUCAUAUUACCAGAUGUUCCAGACUCCUAAUGCUCAAGACUCCAAGUAACAGACCUGGUUCUUCUUAUUGGGGCUCUAUAGAUAGACACAACUAGAGAAGGGGAAUGGAAAUUUGUUUGAGCUUGGAGUUUCGCACAUUGUAGAUCUUUGUAAAUUAAAAACAAGAGAGUUAUUUUUGGGGAAGGGGUAAUUUCAUUUAAUAUAAAAUUGUUGAAUGUACAAUAUGUUAUUACUUGUCAAACAUUCAAGAAAGAAGGAAUCACAUACUAAGGGGAAAAGAAUUAACCUAAACUUAGAGAAAAUUGUUAUAUUAUAUCUUGUUUUGGACUUCCCAUGUUCUACCGAAGACACAGAUAACAUCAGGGAGAGGGACUCAAGAGCAACAGAGAAACAAAUUGAGCGAAUAGAAAGGAAGUAGAAAUAUCCUUAGCUAGCUGGAAUUAACCACUCUCUUCCAUUAUGUACACCAAAGUAGUCAAGAGAAAAAAAAAUUCUGUCAUGUGACUCUAUUGCUCAAAUUCCCUUCCAUUAUUUCUUACUAAAAGUUAGUAAGUUUCAGGUUGCUUUCUUGACCUAUAACAGAGUGAUCCCAGAUAACCACAAUAUAAGUUAAAGAUUCAAACAAACAAUCAAUUUUUGGGAGACAUACUUACAAUAAAAACAAAAUAAAAUCAAAAUUGAACAAAACAGAAAAAAACCACAACUUGCUGUUUAUAUGAACAUCAAGUGAAGCUGGGCACCCUGCAUUUUACUUGCUAAUUCUAUAAAUUCAAUCACAUCUCUAACCCAGCUCCCAUGUCCUUUUGAUGUUUCAUGUUUAUGAAUUUUUCUAAAGUGGUUUUCAGGUUCUUUGAAACAUAGAAGGAGAUGUGUUCUUGUUCCCACACCUGGCUCACCAUGCCUCUCUUCCCUGGAAUGCUCCUCUUAUUUUUCUCUCCCUACUCAGCUAAGCACUACUCCACAGUCUGGCAAAGAGUAGUCUUAGUCCCGGAGUCCUUAUUGCUUUGAGACAUCUCCACUAUUCUCAUUUGACAUUUGACAAAUAACCAUUACUUUUUUUCUCUAAACAUUUUGACAGCAAUGGCAGAGUAGCAUCUUUAGGUUAUCUAGCAAUUAUCUCUGCUCGACCACUCACUCAUGCUCCAUUUAUGUCUUCUAGACACACCUGUUGAUUCUGCAAGGCAUGCUUCUUCCAGUCUCUGGGUGGUUAGUUCCUUGUCUGAGACCAUUAGUGUAGCAAGUGAGAGAAUCAGAGUUUGAGAAAUUGUUAAGUACCACUUUAAAUGUGGUACACAGUGGCACAUGCCUGUAAUUCUAGCAUUUGGAGGUAGAAAAUCAGGAGUUCUAGUGCCAGUCUCAAACAUACAGUGAGUUUGAAACUAGAGUGAGCUAUAUGAGAUCUUUUUUUGUUGUUGUUGUUGUUGUUGUUUUUUUAAACAAACAAAAAACCUGAACAACAACCCAAACACAAGCCAACUAACCAUCACUAGCAACAACUUAGAUUCUGAUGCUAUAUUGUUGAUUUUUCUCAGUUUCCUACCAGUGUGUGUGUGUGUGUGUGUGUGUGAGAGAGAGAGAGAGAGAGAGAGAGAGACAUCAGUUCUUUCUUCCAUUUCCUUGAGCUCUACCCCACCUCUGCUGACCAAGCACAACUACCUGUUCAGUUUCUCUACACAUAGCAUUUGAAGCAUCUGCUACAUGCACAGAUCUUGAGCUUGUCAAAGAUACCUUCUUAAGACUUUGAACCCAGUCCCUCCAAAUUCAGCAACAACUGCUGCAAAGUAUAUUGUAUUGUUUGUUUUCUUUUUAAGUUGUUAAUUUCCUGAUUCCAACCUUUCAUUUUCACUAAUUCUAGGCCUUUUCUCUAAGCAUUAGCUUUAAAUAUUCCAGUUUUGUAUUUACUUGUCUUUUCCAAUGGGUCUAUCUACUUUUAUGUUCAGUAGUUAAGGUACUUCAAGCUAUUAUCCAAGCCUACCAUUUCAUAAUUAGCAUUUCCUAAUUCUCAUCAAAAAUCGCUAGAUUUUAGGUAUAGGUUGAAGACCUCAGAAUUGAUCAUGAAUAAUUGCUCCACAUUCAUUUUACUGAAUACACAUCUUCCUACUAGACAGUCUAUGAAUGCUAAAGGCCCAGCUACAUAUUAUAUCAUCCAGACUAGAUUAUCUACUAUUUUUCAGGAUACUUUAUAGAUGUGUAUAAGUGUAUCAUAUUGUGUAGUGUGUGUGUGUGUGUGUGUGUGUAAUAUAGCGUUGGAUGCACUAAUAUGACAUGAAACAAGUUUUGUGGUCUGACACUCAUAGGUAAAUUACUCAACAUUUUAAAUAUUCAGUAUCUUAUCUUAAAAGUAGGAAAAUACUAACUCCCAACUUAUGGCAUAACCACAAGAUGAAUAGAACCAUAUAGACCAAUCUAGGCAGUUGUGUGGUUAUAAUUGAAGAAAACUUAAAAGUAAAGGAGCAAUGGAGAAAAUUGAUUAUUCCCUAGUAGAUAUCAGGUUCAAAUAGCUCCCCCUUUUUUAAACUUUUUUUUGUAAUUUUUUAUUAGAUAUUUUCUUUAUUUACAUUUCAAAUAAACUAGAUUUCCUAGUUUCCCCUCUGAAAAUCCCCUAUCUCCUUCCCCCUCCCCCUGCUCCCUAACCUAUGCUCUCCCAUUCCUGGUCCUGGCAUUCCCCUACACUGGGGCAUAGAGCCUUCACAGGACCAAGGGCCUCUUCUUCCAUUGAUGACCGACUAGACCAUCCUCUGCUACAAAUAUAGCUAGAAUCACAGGUUCCACCAUGUGUUUUGUUUGGUGGUAUAGUUCCAAGGAGCUCUGAGGGUACUGGUUAGUUCAUAUUGAUGUUCCUUCAAUGGGGCUUCAGUCCCCUUCAGCUCCCUGGGCAUUUCUCUGGCUCCUUCACUGGGGACCUUGUGCUCCGUCCAAUGGAUGACUGUGAACAUCCACUUCUGUAUUUGCAAGGCACUGGCAGAGCCUCGCAGGAGACAGCUAUAUCAGGCUCCUGUCAGCAGGCUCUUGUUGGCAUCUGCCUAGUGUCUGGGUUUGGUGGUUGUUUAUGGGGUGGAUCCCCAAGUGGGGCAGUCUCUGGAUGGUUGUUCCUUCAGGCUCUGCUCUGAACUUUGUCUCUAACUCCAUCCAUGGGUAUGGUUAUCAAAUAGCUUCUUAAUUAGGGUUGGCACCUUGUUUCUAUCCCUACUACCAGCGUUAUGACCUUAUCUGUCUUGAAUCUAUGCAAGUCUUUUCUAUGCUUCCAGGGUCUCUGUGAGCUCCUAUGUGCAUAAGAUCUGUGGAUAAGUGAGAAACACUCUUUCUCCACUAUUUAGAAUGUAACAUAAUCUAACUUAUAGUAUACGUGAGCUUGUUAGCUGUAUAGUAGUGUUUAUUAAUGUUCAAGUGCAAAGAGAAACAUGAGUUCUAAUGGCUAGCACAAUGUCUGUGGUAAAUAAAAUGUAAUAUAUUUUAACAUUGUUCAGUGGAUCUAACACACACGCACACACACACAUUUGAGAGUUGUUGCAUAUGGCAGUUAGUUUGAUUUGAGCCAUUUCACAGUAUUCACACAUCUUGAAAUACCAUAUUGCGUACUGUAAAUACAUCUGAUUUUUAUUUGUUAAUUAUACAUUAAUAAAGCUGAGGGAAUAAAAUAAAAUUUAAAGCGAUAACAUAAAUUGAUCAUAUAUUCACACACACAAAAUUAAAGGAGACUGUGGCUCUUAGAAACAACUUUAAGAAAGACAUAGUCUUAGGAUGUGUGAUCAUAAAGAGAUACACAAAAUGUGUGUGUGUGUGUGUGUGUGUGUGUGUGUGUGUGUGUGUGCUGGUUUCUGGAGUACUAGGGAUAGAACCUAUGGCCUAACCAACACUAGGCAAGCACUCUACUAAUGAGUUCUAACUGAACCUGAUAUAUAUAUUCUAGUAGAAAAAGUCACAGCCAUCCAGAACUCUCUGAGAAGGAAAGGGGAAAAAGAAGUAUAUAAUCCCCUCAGAAAUAUAGGAAGACACUGUCUCAGUUGCUUCGAAUGUUUAACAAGAUUUGUAAACAGAAUAUUAGAUGUCCUGUGAUGCCCUGGUGUCAUUUAUUUGAAGGCAGUAAGUGAAACCUCUUUAGGUGCCUGUGCAGCUCACAGUCAUGGACUUGUAUAUUGCUGUUUCCCUCUCGCUCGAGCUGUGUACCCUCUUCAGUCUCCUCCACUCCGACGGAGGAGUUAAUGCAGUUAGAUUGCUCGUGGGCUUCUAGCGGGACCACUUCAAAUGAUAUUACUUCCAUUUGCGACGUGCAUCACCAGCAGCGCUCACAUUUGAAGGGAACAGUAAACAGACAUCUAAGUCGGCUUGCUGGAAGAGAAGCCCCGCUUCCCACUGAAAAGGAAGCCAGCGACAGGGCUAUGAAUUUGUCAAUUUCGUAAACAGCGAGGCUGUAUCACUCUGGACCACACCUGAUUGAGGCUCUGGAGAGGCCCAAGAUUGCUGUGAGCUCGCAGGAUGUGGAGGGACCUCCUUCAAGGAUCAGAAGUCAAUUUUGACGGUAAGGGAUCGAUGUAGUGAGACUGAAUGCUUUAAUCAGGGCUUUCUGCUGAUAACUAUCAUUUCUCGAGGAAUUCCACUCCGUGCCAAAAAGAAGGACCAGGCAAGGAUCUACCUACCACAUAGAGGUCCUUGAAGAUUAAAUGACACUGUGGCUAAAAGAUAGAGAACGAAGGAAAGGAUGCCUGCUUUUAUUCACAUAACUCAUAGUUUUAUGUUAUUCGCAGGCAACUUCUUGGGUAGUCUUUCCAGAAGGUUUUGUUCCUUACGUUAAAAGAAUAUACAGCAGCAGCCUUCCCAAUCUCUAUGAGCAACUUGUUUUUAAAAGAAAAUUUCUAAUCUGCCUCAGACAUUGCAAUACAAUGCAAACAGUUAUAUAAAUGGCAUUCGUUGUGCUAAUAUAGAAUUCUCUGGAAUGGUCCCAGAUUUUUGCGUUGCUCUGUGUAACUCAGUGUGGACAUGAAGGCUAGCCAUCAAACUGUGUAUCCUUGCUUGGGACACAUUCUGCAGUAUACACUGUAGAGGGCAUUUGAAUGAAAAUGCACCCUCAUAGGAUCACAGGGAGUGGCAUUAUCGGAAAGGGUGAAACCAAGUGGUCUCUCAGUAGAGUAGAUGUGGCCUUCUUGAUGGAAGUGGGUCACUGGAGUGAGACUUCGGGGCUUCAGAAGCCCCAGCCAGGCCUAGUAUCUCUCUCUUACUGCUGCCUGCAGAUCCAGAUAUACAACUCUCAAGCCACUAAACCUCUGAGCUGCAAGCCAGCCCCAAUUCCGUACUUUCCCUUAUAAGAGUUGCAGUAUGUGCUCCCUUCGGCAGCACAUAUACUAAAUUGGAACAAUACAGAGAAGAUUAGCAUGGCUCCCGCGCAAGGAUGAUACACAAAUUCCUGAAGCAUUCCAAUUUUUUAAAAAAGAGCUGCAGUAGACAUGGUGUAUAUCUCUUCAUGGCACUAGGUCACCAAGACAACCAUAUUUUAAUUGGCUUAAUUUUGGAGGAGUAACUAUGCCAUUGCUUUCUUUGCUUCAUCAUCUUGGUUUGUGAUCAUCAGAGAAUCUACAAGGGCUGGACAGCAUUACUGAAUACUGAAGUCUCUGUCAGCCCUUAACUACCAGCUCAAGAGGUACAUUCAAGUUGGAAGGAAUGAAGAGACAGUAUUAUAGAAAUUGGGAAUUAUAGAAUUUGGGAAUUUUGGGAGAAAGUAAGAAAGAGGUGUGUAUGUGCGUGUGUAUGUGUGUGUAUGUUAGUGUGUGUAUGUGUGAGUGUGCAUGCAUGUGUGUACAGACAUGUGCACACAUAGGCAUUCACAUUGGCUUGGUGCUCACCUAUGUGUACAUUUGUUUAUAGGUUCACAGGACUAUGCAUGUGGGUGGGAUACAGAGGCCAAAGGGGGAAAGCUAUCAUUCUCCACCUUACCGCUUCAGACAGGUCACUCACUAGAACUGGAACCCACUAAUUUUGGGUCUUUUGCCUAGAAUGGCAGCUAGCACACUUCUGAAUCCUCUUUUCAUCAUUCGCUGACAGCACUGGGAUCACAUGUGUGCGCAGCUUUCUAAGCUGGUGCUGAAGAGCUUAACCUGCAUCCUCAACCUUGUGCAACAAGCACUGUUUCUCCCUGGUCCAUCCUCCAGCCCCACAAUUUAAAAACAUGGCAACUGUACUUCUACACAUCCCUUUACACAUUACUCAUUUGUUUCUGUACUCACCAGCAGAAACCAAGAGCCUACUUGUGUGCACACAUAAAUGCACCACUUUCAAGAUACAUGGGCUCUCAUCCACUCACCCUUUAUCUCAGCUCCGCCCCUUUGAUUGACUCCAUGUAAGAUACAAUCUGGGCAUCUCUAGGAGAUCAAGGCAUCUUUUAUAUUCAGAAAGUGAACCUAUUACGUGACAAUCUAGAAGAGAUGAAGCUAAGCCAAGAAGGCCAGGAACUCAGUCCUUUGUACAGUAAUAUUGCUUGGGAUGUAAGGGUCCUCAAAUAACCCUAAAGACUGUGCCUCAUUCCCCUUAAAUAUAAGUAGGUAAAGAAUCACAGGAGACUGUCUCAUCAGGUAAUGGGCCUGCCACGGACCAGAAAAUGCCUUCUGUCUUAUUGGCAUUGUCUCAUCCUAAGGCUCCAACUUAAAGAAUUGAAAAAUAUAUCCUUCAUUAACUCACUCAGUAACUAAAAACUGAAAUAUAUAGGAUAAUAUGAAGCAAGAAGAUGUCACCAGAUGAGAGGAGAGUAGCCUAGCAUGAACAGUAUAAUGGUCAUUAUUAUCCUUAGAUUCGUUUCUAAAGGGGAUUAGAUAAGAAAUUGUUCUUUUUUUAAAAUGGUUUUGUAAUUAUCACAUUACCAUAUCAUUCCCCCUUCCCCUCCCCCCUCCUCUCUCCAGCCCAUAUAGCCCAUUGUGUUCCUAAAAUGAUGCCUUUUAAUUUUACAUAUAUACAUGUAUGUGGACAUAUAUGCAAAUGGGUAUAUAACAUAUAAAUAUAUAUUCUUAGACAAGUAAACCCAUCUUGUUCAGUCUGAACAUUGUUGCAUAUAUUCUUUCUUAAAAUAUUUCUAUUGACGUUCUCUGAAUAAAUAAGUAAAUUUUAAAUAAAUGAAAUUUUCAGAAAAAUAAUAUAGAGUUAAAAAAUCCUUAACUCAUUUCUCAGUUACAAAGGAUUGUCAACAGGUAGCUAGAGUGUUCUUUAAAAAAAAAUUUUAUUUAUUUAUUUUAUGGAAGUAUAGUGUCACUGUCUUUAGACACACCAGAAGAGGGUGUCAGAUUCCAUUACAGAUGGUUGUGAGCCACCAUGUGGUUGCUGGGAAUUGAACUCAGGACCUCUUGAAGAGCAGCCAGUGUUCUUAACCGCUGAGCCAUCUCUCCAGCCAGAGUGUUCUUAAUCCACUCAUAGUCAGGAGGGGCAAUGGUGCGAUGAGCUUGUGAGAAACCAUCCCAUGAUUUGAACAGAGAUUGACUUUAGAUAAUGUCAGUACUGGCCUAUAAAUAUAGAAUCCUUAUUGUGUCUUGGACACUAAGUACUGUCGGGUGUAUGAUGGGUUCAGAGAACAGGACUUGGAAAUGGUAAACAAUUUCCCACACUUCCAGAGAUAUACAGACAGGGCCCUGUGAAUCCUAACUAACUCAGUAUAUGACAAAGGAAAUGGUAAGAAUGUUACAUGUUUGGCAUUACUUAAUGGUACAAUCAAGCUUCUAACGCUGUGACUAUUAUACAUCAAGUUUAAAGAUGAAAUUACCCAGACCUAGAUUAAGAAAUGUAGCUAAGCUGACACAGUGAGCAAAGAAAAGGCAGGAGAUUCCAAUAUGCCCUGGGCUUUAUUCUUGACCCCACGUUUUAUCUCCAGCACUCUUUUCCACCUGGCAGCAAAGGAUAGCCUAUUUAGCCAAAUAUGUUCCAUCCCUGGCUCGUGAAAUCCUGCCGUCCACAUUGACUUCUAAAGGAGUCCGGGCACUGGCCUUUCUUAUCUAAGAUGAAUACAUUUCCCAUUACAACACACAGCUGUCAUCCCGCAUCACUCAGGAUUGCUCCCUAAUUCGCAGCCCUCGAAAUUGUCAAGCUUCCACUGGACACUUUAAUUACUGAAAUUUAUCUUUAAAAAAGAGGCAAUAUAAAAGUUGUCAGACGGGUGACUUUAUACAGUGAUCAAAGCAAAAUGCUGGAUGCUUUCUAAGGGUUUAUUAAAAGCAUUUAAUGGACUUGAGCUCACACUUUUUAUGCCCCCCCCCCAGCUCCCCUACAAAGAAAGAUAAGAUUUGUCCAGAUGAGUGUCUUGUUAUAGCCAGAUAUUUGGAUAGAAUAGAAGAUAACCUCUUGACCCUGGUCCACCUCCAGCAUACCAAAGAUCAAUCUUAUGUGCCCUGUUCUCCACAGAUGAAGAGUUGCUGGUAGGAUACUGUCUUAUUUAGGGUUUCUACUGGGGCAAGAAAACACCAUGACCAAAAAGAAAGAUGGGGAGGAAAGGGUUUAUCAAGUAUACACUUCUAUGUUGCUAUUCAUCAUUGAAGGGAGUUAGGGCAGCAAUUCAAACAGGACAGGAACCUUUUUCUUUUGCGCUAGAAUGUCUGGCAUAUUGUAAGUUUUAUAAUGAUAUAGCAUGUAGCCCCAGGAAUCUAUGGUAAAACAUUUCAGCCAAAGUAAUAUUUUUCUCUACUUAAAAAGAUCUAUGCCGGGCAGUGGUGGCACACGCCUUUAAUCCCAGCACUUGGGAGGCAGAGGCAGGUGGAUUUCUGAGUUUGAGGUCAGCCUGGUCUACAAAGUGAGUUCCAGGACAGCCAGGGCUGUACAGAGAGACCCUGUCUCUAAAAACCAAAUAUAUAUAUAUUAGUAAGAGUGUUAUCCUAGACAUGAUGACAGUGUUAUGUGUAGUCAAAGGGAAAGUGUAGCCAGUUAUCAGAUACACAGGAAGGAGAGAAGAAAAUCUAGCCUUUUAGGAAUAAGGAUCCAGAAAGGCAACCUUUGGAAGAAAGUAUAUUGGUAUUUAUAAAAAUAGCCUUGUAAAAAGAUCUAUAAAGACAAAAAUACUGACUGCAAAUUAAUCAGAAAGUGCCAACAGGCUUCAGAAAGUAACCUGGGUUGUACUUACAGUUGCCAUGACUCUUUCUGAUUACAUAAGUAGUGAUGUGGGUUUGUUAUAAAACACGCAAACUAACAAAGAGCUAUGUAUUCUCACGAACCAACUGUUAGCAAUUGUUCAGAACAGCAUUCUCUAUUUCCCUUUUCUCUAGCUAUGUUUGUAUUUUCAGAUGUAUAUAUUUUUUUCAUAGACAGUAUGAUCUUUUUACAAUGGUAGCCGACUGCAUGUGUUCAGAUUUUACGUAAUUUUCUCAGUCCUAAAUUCACCUUUCUUUCUCUUUAUUCAUUCAGUUAUUUUUAAUAUCCAGAUUACUGCAAUAAAUAUUGUAUGUUGUUUGAAGAACUAGAUACCACCAUGCCAGUGCUUAGACCUGUUUAUGUUUUUUUUUUUAAGACCAAGGAUAUAUUUCUUUCUUCCUCAGGCAGACUGCUCUUAUGAUGUUAAGUGGUUUGACCAUUGGCAAGCAGGUUGUCUUCUGAAUAUGCAUAAAGAUACAAUCUCUCCCUAAAAGGUGUUUUCUGAUAAUUAGGAAAUACCAUUUAUACAUCAUUGCCUAUAAUGAUGUUAAUGCAAAUAAUAAUAAUAAUAAUAAUAAUAAUAAUACAAGCUAUUUUCUUCUAAAAGUGUCAACUGACUCAUAUAACAGAUUAAAAUCAACUCUGGGAACUUACCCUGCUUCAAUAUUAGUGUCUCUGUCUUUUUUUCCCCUCACUGUUCUUUAAGAGGACUACAGCCAGCUAGAAAUGUCAAAACCUAGGUGAUUUCAAUAGUAGACUUCCAGGUGUGAGAAUAUAAAAAGACGUCAGUUUAGAGACACUUGGUGUGAAAUCAUUGUCAAUGCCCAAAGAAGUGGAGGAAAGGUUAGAAGUGGUUCUCUGGGGCUCAGGUCUGGGAACUGGAGUGAUGCUGGAGUGUGUUUUACGGAGAGAAGCUACCCAUGUGGAAAUUCCCGUAUCACGGGGCAUCUCCUCUUCCUUAAUCUUUAAGGCACGCUUACAAAUUCUUUCUGAUAGCAAAUCUCAGUGGAGCUGAGCCAUAUGCUCCUUUUUGGUUCUUGGAAUAGUUGAUACUUUGAGGCUUAAGACCUAUAAAUAACUCCCUUUGGAAACACCAUUCUAUAUAGAGAACCUGACCUAAAAAAAAAAAAAAAGCCUGACAUUUGGAUAUUGGUCAAAAUAUUACUCCUUGACAUUAAAAUAUGUCACUGCAGUGUCAUAAUAUUGUGACACAUGGUGGUGUCACAUCAGACCAAUUCCAAACAAAGUCCUCCUCUAAGCAAUCCACUGAUGCAGGUUUGUGCAUUCGGUUGAAAUCCUUCCUGAUAUUGUAGGGUGGUGAGCAGCUUGAAGAGAGGGCAGUGUGUAAUUUAUGCACUUCGUUUGGAAACGGGCCAGCACAGUUUGGGAAGAUCCACACAGAAACUGCUCAUCAAGAUGAUUAACAAACACAAACAAGGGGCAAUUCUUGUUAACAGCACCAGGUUGGGAGACACCAAAACAUUGUGUUUCCCAUAAGAUAUUUGCAAGACUAGCUGUGGGCACCACUUCACAUGUGUUAUUAUUUAUGCUGCUAGCUUCUUCCAGGUGGGGUGAGGGUUUAAUUUACAGUAGCGAGACAUGGCUGUCUGUAUAAAGCAUUCUUUGUGAGAGCAUGGAAGAGUUUUACAUUGUAGAGGAAUAGCUACAGAUCGGUUUAGAUGCCCAUAGUAGCUGUUUCAAUAUUAUCAAUGGCCUCAGAGUCCACUUCUAGGACUUUUAUUUAAAUGGUAAGGGAGGGGGGGGGAUGUAUAAGUAUGCAAUGGCAUCUUUGAAAACCUUCAUCAGUAGUUAGCUUCACAUUGUAUCUUGCUACUUCAGGGGACUUUUUCAGACAGUCAGCAUCCUCAUUUGGAGGUGUAUUAAAAAGACAGAAUAAUUCCACUCAGAUCCAAUGGAUCUGAAUUUCUAUUUCAGUAGGGUUCCCAUGUGAACCAUAUAUUACAUUUGGAGAAGCCUUACUCUAAAUAAAGGGUGUAAAUACAAAUUUUAUCAAAUGUAACAAUACAGGUAAUAUUAAUAAAAUAAUACACAGAGAUAAUUAUUAUUAUGUACUUAGAAUGGUCCAGGUAUCCAUCUGAACACUAAAUGACAACUUACCUCUUAAAUUCUCAAAAUACAUAGGGGAAGAGGUACUAUAAUUACUGUACCUUUCAGAUAAGACAUUUGAUGUUUGAAACCUUGUUGAAGGCCAGGUAGUGGUAAGAGACCUAGCAGUUGCAACAGCGCCUACUCUGUGCAUUAAGAAACCAGCAGUUUAACAGCCAAAGUCAAAUGAAACAGAGGGACUCGUGUUCAAACAUUGUGGCCCAAUUCAAAAGUGCUUAUUGAAGAGAUAAGAGGGUCAAGGGAAUGUGAGUGGUGCUGCCUUCCUUGCACAUAAAGAAUGAUAGCCAGGAACAACUAAGAUGCAUACAAAGUAUUUGUGAAAUAUUCAGCAGCCCAGGGCAACCAUUAUCUCUAACCUAGUCAAGCAACAGAUCACAUUUAAGACUGAAUUUGGAUUUUCUUUCCAUGAGCAUGAAGCACAGUUGGUCUCCACAAAGAGCAUAACAAAGUCACAGGCAACGUGUCAUCAAUGGAAACCUUGAGCUAUUGCUUUCUUUCCUCCUUAAGAGAAAUGGCAGAUGCAUUUGGGAAGCUAUUUUCUCAAAGCAGCAAGGUCUCCCCCUGGUCAAUCCAAAAUAAAUACUAUUCUAUUAGGGACUGAAGAAAUAUCUGUUGAGUUAAUGGUUAUGGAUACAAAGUGCUCUCUCAAAGGUAAUUUGACUGUUUUUCUGAGAUUGCAUCCUGGCAGCCCCUGGCAGGGAAUCCUGUGGGUUUGUUACAUGUAAGUCUUCCUCAAUGAUACAACAACAAACACCAGGGUACAGCGCAAACAUACAGAUGCAAAAUCCAGACUUAGAGCCUUUCCUUCUAAAUUGGAAAAUCUGAUCAAGCCGAGCACUCCUGUGUGCAGCACCCAGUCACCUCUGUGUGGGGUCACCUGCAGGACGAUGACAUCUCUUCCGAACUGCUUACUGUGGUGGUAGUGUUAAUUCCCCUUUUGACAGAAUCUAGAAUCACCUGAAAGAGGGACUCUGGGUACACCUGUGGAGGAUUAUUUUGAUUAGGUUAACUGAGGUGGGAGGACCCACGGACUGUGAGUACCACUUUCACCUGUUUGGUUUUCAGGGGCGUAUACAUGGAGAAACAAGCAAGCAAGCAAGCAAGCAAGCAAGCAAGCAAGCAAGCAAGCAAGCAAGCAAGCAUUCAAUGCUCUGAUCUUCUCACUGUGGCCACAUUGUGACCAGCUGCUUUAAGCUCCAGCUGCCUUGUUUCCCCUGCCUUGAUGGACUAUAGUCUGGAACUUUCAUCAAAGGAAACCCUCUCAUUUUCGGGGUGCUUUUGUUGGAUAGUCUAUCACACACAGGAAAAAAAAAAAGACAUUCGUUAAGUACCAGUGUUGAGACCAAUAGGUAUAGGUCCUAAGCCAGUGUUGAGACCAAUAGGUCUAGGUCCUAAGCCGUGGAAUAUGUAACAGUUAUGUAGAAAAAGUGAGGGGCCCUUAUAUGUCAAAAGGUAUGUUGGCAAUAAUCUUGAAAGGAAAGGCCUUACUGGGGCUAUCUUAGUGGCUCUGCAAUGCUGUUACCUGUAUUUUUCUAUGAAAGGCAGAAAAAGACUCAAAUAGACACAAAGAGAAGAGGGAAUAAAAUGAGGCAGAGGGAGAUCACCACCACCCAAAGUGUGCCAACAGCUCCUAGAAUCAGAAAGAAACCACAGGGGAAUUGCCUCCGUCGGCUACAGAGGGAGUCUCUCCCUGGGGGCAUCUGAGCCUUAUACUCCUGACAGUAGAAUGAAGAAUAAAUUGUUAUGUGUCAACCCACAUCAUAUUUUGCAGUUCACUUCAACAUAGCACAAGAAAUUUCCAAAGACAUCUGUACCUACAAGGGUGCUGAUGUAGUUUUUUAGGGAAAAAUUGGCAAAGUAGGGUACCAUGAUAACAUCUUCCAGAGCUCUGGCGAUCUUCGAAUCCAGGUAUGGUUAGAAUCACUCAUUUAUAUUUAAAUCUCUGCUGAAGCACUGCUAUCUUAAUAUGAAAAGCAUGGAUUCCUGGAUAAAUUUAUAUUUUCAUUUCAAACUCAGAGUUUAUAUUCUAACCUAAUAAAAUGCCAUAAACAAUGAAUCUUCUAUCUGGAAUGAGAUAAAGAACAAAAAGGCCUAAACGUUGCAUAGACUUCUGCAGCCAUCUUACAAAUAGACAACACAGACUCAGAGAAAGCCAUGAGAACCCUAAGAUCAUACACAUAAUUAGUGCAGCAUCAAGGUAGACUGUCCCUGUUGGCCUGUCACUUUCUUCCCUUUCUCCCUUCACCUUUCAAAAUCCCCAGCAUUCACUUGUCCCUUCUUGAUUACUGAAAUAGAGUGUACUGUAAAGACCUGUGUAAUAGAACGUCAUGUUUGUUCAGAAGGAGUGUAGACCUGCCCUCUAUCCAUCAAAGGAAAUACUCUUAAGUCCAUCUCCAAAUAUGACUUUUUCUAAGCAAACUAAUUUAUCCAGAACAUUUAAGUCAAUUCAUAUUUAACCAUAAAAGGAUCUUGUCAUGAGGUAAGCAAUGUUUAAUGCACUAAAGGAUACGGAUGUUUAAAAAAAAUGGAAGAACAACUCAAAUGGUGACUUUUCAAGGAGAUGAGAGAAAUGCUAGAGAAUAGGUCAUAACCCAUUUAUUAAAAAGAUUAAAAGGCCCUGAGAAAAACCUGAAUAAUUAGGCUACAUAAAUUGACAAUUAAAUGGUGACUUUGGGUUCCCAAGGAUAAUAUAAAGGAGAAUUAUAUACCAAUGCUUAUUUUAGGGAAGAGAUGGGGUUGUAUCAGAAAAGAGAGAGAGAGAGAGACUUAAUUACAUUUUAUUUCUAAAAGUGAUGUUUUUACAGUGAUCACAGACACUCCACUAAGGAAAGCAUUGUCUAAUAUGUUGUCAUAUUAGCAAACUUUUACACCUAUCUUAGUCUCAGGGUAUCAAGUUUGGGAUCUACUCUGCAUAAAUUUCACACUCCAACACAACAAAACUAUUUUCCUUAAUGCAAUACUAGAACUCCCUAGAAACUCAUGGAGUCUAUAUUGCUAUAACUAAUUCAAGAAAUAAUGAUUUUUUUUUUUUUGGUGACCAGUCAGAAUUUGAUUCUCCAGGACUCAGCAAAAAACCAGCAUGUGCCGGAUGCAGAUGCUUCUAUGUAGUCUUGAGUGUACUCUGUUAUCUCUGGCACAUGUACAUCUAGCCAUGCCGCAGACUUCUCUUUACCAUCAACAGAUAUGCUUCUGAUUCAAAAUUUGAAUCUCAUUUAAACAUUUAUCUUCUAGAGUUCAGAGAGGCUAAAAUAAAACUAUUUCUUGUCUCAAACAUUUGAGUAGUGACAUCCUUGCCUUAUCUUGGUUCAAGCAAUGUUCAAGGCUUAACUCACUAAUAGGAAAAGUUAAAAAGGUUUUUUUUUUUUUUUUUUUUUUUUUUUUUUUUUUUUUUGGCAAGCCUUACCUCCAGUUAUAUAUAGCAUGGAUGGUGCUAAUUAGUUUCACUAUUACCAGAAUACCAGAAGAGUCUGGCCUAUGUGAACAGGACAGUGCCUAAAUGAUCUAUCUCUUUCCUUCAUCUCACCAGAACUGGGCUCAUUACUUGAGAGUGAGCCCUAGCUUACAGGUAGUCAAGACAAACCUUGGUUUAGCACAUGCACAAUAGAAAACUGAGCUAAAGCAGUAUUUCAGAAUCUUAAACUUGUACUAGAAAAUGAUUAAGCAGUUAAAGACUUAGAGCUGUGGGUAAAUCAAAUGGAGAGGGGUCCAGAAAUGUUAUAAAGCAAUACCAUUAAGGAGUAACAGGAUAACAGAAAGAAGACAAACAGAACACACACACAUACACACACACACACACACACACACACACACACACACACACACUCUCUCACACAUACAGUGGUCAAGCCACAUAUACCAGAGACAGAACACCUGGAUGAUAAACCACGGGGCCUAUUUUGCAAAGAUCUCGGUAACAAUUUUUGUGUCUAGAACCAUCCAUCUUUAGAAGAUCCUGACCUUGAGUUUUUCCUUCAUCUUCCUCAUACAUAAUGUACUGACUUUUCAUAGAUUUGUUUGGAUUAUUAUCCUAUGAAAAAGUCCUUCCCACUCCUUACUGAUGGAGCACAAAUGAGUUUGUUUCUCAAAUGUAAGCAGGAGAUUAGCUAGAAACAACAUUCAUCUGAAAAUGCUACACCAUUCACCAGGUCUGAUAAUAUGCUAUCUGAGCUAUCUCUCUGCCUCCUGCCGAGAGCCUGCUGUUUCCUAACUACUUUGUGUGAUGUUAUAUGAUCCUCCUCAGCAGAAGUGUGUUGAUGCAUACAGCUCAACGGGACCUACUCUAGCACAGACAUAUUCUGGCGACAGAGACUACCAAAGUACUCAUGUGCUCACAUUUGCACUCUUCCCAUUGCGUCUUGCUAGGUAUUUUAAGGUGUUCGUUGAUUAAAUAUCUAGUACCAUUAACUCUAAUUUUAACUUCAAUUAAAUGUUUAGGCUCCAUUUAGCCUAUGCUCACAAAACAGUGAGUCAAGGUUCUCAUUUCCAAUGUUUUCAACCAUGAUUCUUCAGUUUCAGAAUAUUGUCUAUGUAGUUUUAUAUAUUUGUUUUUUUUUUCCAUUUUUUAUUAGGUAUUUAGCUCAUUUACAUUUCCAAUGCUAUACCAAAAGUCCCCCUUACCCACCCACCCCCACUCCCCUACCCACCCACUCCCCCCCUUUGGCCCUGGCUUUCCCCUGUACCGGGGCACACAAAGUCUGCGUGUCCAAUGGGCCUCUCUUUCCAGUGAUGGCCGACUAGGCCAUCUUUUGAUACAUAUGCAGCUAGAGUCAAGAGCUCAGGGGUACUGGUUAGUUCAUAAUGUUGUUCCACCUAUAGGGUUGAAGAUCCCUUUAGCUCCUUGGGUACUUUCUCUAGCUCCUCCAUUGGGAGCCCUGUGAUCCAUCCAUUGGCUGACUGUGAGCAUCCACUUCUGUGUUUGCUAGGCCCCGGCAUAGUCUCACAAGAGACAGCUACAUCUGGGUCCUUUCAGUAAAAUCUUGCUAGUGUAUGCAAUGGUGUCAGCAUUUGGAAGCUGAUUAUGGGGUGGAUCCCUGGAUAUGGCAGUCUCUACAUGGUCCAUCCUUUCAUCUCAGCUCCAUACUUUGUUUCUGUAACUCCUUCCAUGGGUGUUUUGUUCCCACUUCUAAGGAGGGGCAUAGUGUCCACACUUCAGUCUUCAUUUUUCUUGAGUUUCAUGUGUUUAGGAAAUUGUAUCUUAUAUCGUGGGUAUCCUAGGUUUUGGGCUAGUAUCCACUUAUCAGUGAGUACAUAUUGUGUGAGUUCCUUUGUGAUUGUGUUACCUCACUCAGGAUGAUGCUCUCCAGGUCCAUCCAUUUGGCUAGGAAUUUCAUAAAUUCAUUCUUUUUAAUAGCUGAGUAGUACUCCAUUGUGUAGAUGUACCACAUUUUCUGUAUCCAUUCCUCUGUUGAGGGGCAUCUGGUAUAGAGACAGACAAGUGGACCAAUGGAAUAGAAUUGAAGACCCAGAAAUGAACCCACACACCUAUGGUCACUUGAUCUUCGACAAGGGAGCCAAAACCAUCCAGUGGAAGAAAGACAGCAUUUUCAACAAUUGGUGCUGGCACAACUGGUUGUUAUCAUGUAGAAGAAUGCGAAUCGAUCCAUACUUAUCUCCUUGUACUAAGGUCAAAUCUAAGUGGAUCAAGGAACUUCACAUAAAACCAGAGACACUGAAACUUAUAGAGGAGAAAGUGGGGAAAAGCCUUGAAGAUAUGGGCACAGGGGAAAAAUUCCUGAACAGAACAGCAAUGGCUUGUGCUGUAAGAUCGAGAAUUGACAAAUGGGACCUAAUGAAACUCCAAAGUUUCUGCAAGGCAAAAGACACCGUCAAUAAGACAAAAAGAUCACCAACAGACUGGGAAAGGAUCUUUACCUAUCCUAAAUCAGAUAGGGGACUAAUAUCCAACAUAUAUAAAGAACUCAAGAAGGUGGACCUCAGAAAAUCAAAUAACCCCCUUAAAAAAUGGGGCUCAGAACUGAACAAAGAAUUCUCACCUGAGGAAUACCGAAUGGCAGAGAAGCACCUGAAAAAAUGUUCAACAUCCUUAAUCAUCAGGGAAAUGCAAAUCAAAACAACCCUGAGAUUCCACCUCACACCAGUGAGAAUGGCUAAGAUCAAAAAUUCAGGUGACAGCAGAUGCUGGCGAGGAUGUGGAGAAAGAGGAACACUCCUCCAUUGUUGGUGGGAUUGCAGGCUUGUACAACCACUCUGGAAAUCAGUCUGGCGGUUCCUCAGAAAAUUGGACAUAGUACUACCGGAGGAUCCAGCAAUACCUCUCCUGGGCAUAUAUCCAGAAGAAGCCCCAACUGGUAAGAAGGACACAUGCUCCACUAUGUUCAUAGCAGCCUUAUUUAUAAUAGCCAGAAACUGGAAAGUUUUAUAUAUUUGAAUGAGCCAAUUUAUCACAACUUAAAGAAUAUAUAAUGAUCACAUUAAAGAUAAAACUCACAUUGGCUGAAAAGUUAAUUUUAUCUCAUGUUUCUUAGACUGCCUCUAUGUAAAUCCAGAUGGUGUUUACAGAUGUGUGAAAAAUAUUACUUUUUAAAAAUUAUCUAUUACAACAAAAAUAAUAAUUUCAGUUGAUAUCUGGCUGAACUGCUUUUAUUUUCUGACCUAGUUAUUUCUGGAUUUUACAUAGACAUGAAGACCAGUGAUCUUAGGACCCUGUGGAGAUUUUAAUUUUGAAAGGAACUUAACAGUUGUAGCUGGUGAGCAGCUGGUUCUAAGAGCCAGUAUGUGCAUAUCACACAUCCUUCUGUCUUUUAGAUACUUUGUUUGAUGUUAUAGAAGAAUGCGUAGUCCAAAUAUAUUGAUACAUACAUCUCAAUGAGACCUAGCCUAGCCCUCAGAGAAUCCUUAUUCAACACAACAACAAAAAAAUUGGUUUGGGCAUAAGCAAAGAGAGUCUCUGUUGAGUGAUUCAAUGUCUUAGAAGUUCUAACUGAGCAGGCACUAUUGGUCUACACAUGUAUCAUUGGCAGAUCCAUGGAGCAAAACUUAGAAUUAGGGACCUUACAUGAUCAACCACAUUGCAGGUACUUAGUGGCCUGUUAUAAGCACAACAUUAGGAUAAUGGAAAAUGUACCACAAAAGCAGCACAUAUAUGUUAGAUGAUUCUCUCUCUCUCUCUCUCUCUCUCUCUCUCUCUCUCUCUCUCUCUCUCUCUCUCUCUCCACAUCCUCUCUCUCUAGACACACGUAUAUAAUCUAUCUAUCUAUUGAUCCAUAUCUAUCUAUCUAUCUAUCUAUCUAUCUAUCUAUCUAUCCUCUAACAGUAUAUAUUUAUAUAUACACUCUAUAGAUAGAGAUAGAUGAUAUAGAUAUAGAUGUAGAUGCAGAUGAUAUACAUAUACAUAUAACACAUACAUAUUACAACUACAUAAUCUAAAAUAUAAUGAAACAUCAUUUGUUUAAUUUGUUUGUUAUAAGUAAGUUACUCUUCCUGUGUCAUAGGAGGGACAAAACAUGACAAAUUUGAAUCCUGUACUUAAUGAUCAAAGUAUGAAUGAACAUGUUGGCUUUUCAGUAUUCACUAUUUAAAAUAGGUACCUAAAACAUACAAAACGUCACCAGCAUGGGCCACAGGACUUCUCCUUAUCAUGGCUUGAUCUCAUCCCAGCCAGGCUCCUCCUCCUCAUGUAAUUGUUAAGCCCCUAAGAGCUUUCCUCUUCUCGUCACCUCAUGGUCCCUUGUUACUUGCUCCAUGUGAACAGAGUACACUGCUCAACCUUUGGCCCCCUGUGGAAACAAUUUACACUGCUUCCCUUAAAAUAUUUCAGAUAGAUACAUUUUUUUUUUAAAAUUAAGGGUCCUUUAGAAGUCACUUUUCUAAUAGACUAAUCUUUUUUUCAAAUAAAAAAUCAGCACCCAAUGCAAAUAUAUAAAGAAUAUUAUUCACAAUGCCAUGACAACUUUAGCUCAACCCUGAUGAUCACUGCACUUUCCCCCCUUACAAUGACCACCCAUUCUGAACUUUUGUAUUGGUUGUAAGGGUAAUAGACAACUAAUGACAUAUUAUAGGCAGAUCUCUGGCUCAUUUGUGAGGUAUUAUAUGGAAGCUCUCAAGGAAGAGCUCUGCAUCAUAACUGGAUAUCCCAGAAUGGACAUUUUUGAUUUAUGAAUAUGGAGCUCUGGAAAAGGGAUAUAAUACAGACCAGGUUUAUCUGGGGGUGGGGGGGAUGGAGGGAACUGUAAAAUGAGCCACAUUUUAUUGAUACUGUGGUGGGGAUAUCAGACAGAAAUUGAAAGUCAUUAUUUGGAGUCUGGAUUUGGACUAGAAGUGGAGGGAGGCAGGGCAUGAACUUAGAUCAAAGUUCUUCUGUAGGGGCUACAUCUGAUACCCUUGAAAGACCUCUCGCUGACUCCCCAACUAUCUGUCCCCAGCUGUCACUUUGAGGGACAUAGCAGGCAUCAGCUAGCUUCCUAACUGUGCCCGGACAACAUUUCUAAGGCAGCACAAACAGUCAAGGAAUGAAACAGCAAAAACUGUUUAUGUUCGUUUACUGUGCAUGUUUUUCAGUGUUUCCAGAUUAAAAACUUGCAUUUGUCAUGACCUCAGUGGGGUACAAAUGAAAAUGCUCAUUCAUAUCUUUCAGUAGAGAGAGCUCCCUCAAUUCACUGACUGAAGAGAUAACUCUGUAGUAUUACAAUAAUCAACUUGCAGUAUAUCCUCUAUUAAUGCUUCCAACUGUAGCAGUUCCUAAGAGCUAGGAGACAUUUAUUCAUUUACAUAAUAGUGAGAGACUUUCACCCUUGUGAGACCAUCCAUUAUCUCCUUGUUCCUCCAUGGAAGGAUUUCAAAUAGGUACAAUUAUAUGGAGGGCCAUUUAAUAAUUACAUGUCUAAAUGACCAAACUUAAAGGAAAUACACGUAUGCGGUGGCCAACACUAACUAAAGUCACUAAAUUAUAAACAUAUCUAGGUAUUACCAGUGACAUUAGGCUUCGUAGCUUCCUCCCACAGCAGAAGUACAAUGGUGAGUCUGUGAGACUGGUAUGUAAAUAGGAAACAUAUUAAUGCGAACUCUCCUUGAAACACUUUCAGCAUCACUAUAGCUUAUGCAGUGACAUUUUAAAGUUAUUUUCCCCGUCUGUCCCUUCCUAGUUAGCCACAUCAUGGCCACUGCCAAGGAGAGAAUGCACUGUCUGAUCCACAGCUUCAAAGAAGUUGGUGAGAUUCCUGUUAUAAAAUUGCAAAAGUUUAGAUAAUUCAUUCAAGCUUGGCUUUUUUUUCCCCCGUGCACUUUUCUAAAGAAAAUUUAAAGUGUCAAAAAUACAUAUCUUGUGCUCAUUAUUAAAUGCUAAAUACCACCGUGUUUUGAGCUGCCUCGUGGCCAUUAGAAAGGAAACAGGUGUUCUGAUAGAUUAUAAAGUGUGAGUCAGAUGAUGUGCAGGACAGAAUUUUAAUGAAGCUGCUCACACGGAACUCUGACUGGCCUCUUGAAUGUGCUGCUUAAGCCCUGAAAGUAGUCUUCAAGACAAAAAUCACAGGGAUACAACUCAGGAAGCACUCAUUAAUAAUCAACAAGUAAAUGGGAUGCGGAAAAUCAUUAUAUUGAGAUGCCUUUGCAUUUCAAUGCAAUUUAAUACAGCAUCAGCCUCAGGAGAAGGUGGGUAUCAUUUGAAAGGAUGUCCAAGUCUUUGUAUGUAUGCAAAUAUAGGAAUAGUUCCUUCUAAUUGCCACAAUAAGUUCUCAGUGAAGACCAUGCUCAAAGCUAGGAUUCUAGGUGUAGCAUUUUAUGAGAGAUGGGGGGUAGCUUUGAGGUGUGGCAUCAAAGAACCAUUAUCGAUCACUUUCAUUAGGACUAUACCUAAAGAUCUGUAAAGAAUCAAAUUCUCUAUCUUUUCUCAUUAAAAUGUCUUAAAAUGAUAUAUACAUGAUAUUCAUUUAGAGUUUUGGAUGUGUGCUCACAUUUCAAAAGUAAGCUCUACAAUAUAAAUAUCAAAUCUCUUUCCAUUCCAGGAAGCAGAGACUACCCCUAAGUUACCAGGUAUUUUUCAUGAACAAUCAGAAAUUUUGCCAUGUGUUCAGUUAUAGGCCUUCCCCUUUGAGAUGCUGGUUAUUCUAAGUGGCCAGAUCUCAAGGUAGGAAGGAAUCUUUCUAAGAUUAAAGACGGUAUCUAUACUGUGGGUCCCAGAGUCUCUAAGUCAUCAUCCUACCCAGUCCCAGGUCCUCCAUGUUCCUUGUCAUGGAGGCUUAGUAGAGAAGGUUCACCACUCUCUAAAAGGAUACAGAAGUCAGAUAUUUUCCGUUUAGGGAGUCUUCUGACUGCUUUCUUCUGGGUCUACUCACAUCACUCUGUCUGAGCUCCCUGACUCUUACCUUAAUAUCUCUUAUUAAAGCUGCUCCUUGGGUUUUUAAAAGGAUGCUUUCUUCUUCCCUUUAAGACCCCAUAUUGCCAUAAUGUACUGUACAUCUGAAUACUUUCCUACUUCAAGUUCUUAUCAUGGUUCCUGUGGUCAAUGCCUCGCUCUCCUAAUAAAAUGCAUUCCUGAAAGGUAAGUAUGUUUCAGCAUCCUUUCCCAAGCAACCAAAUCCACUUGGAAAUGUUUGUCUUUAUUCAGUAUUUAGUGUUUUCUGCAGAAAUCUGGAUCACAAUCAAUUAUUAUAAUCUCUUUCUGGCACCACUUUUUUAAAAAAUUUAAUGUGUAUGGGUAUUUUGGCUGCAUGUCACCACAUAUAUGUCUAGUGCCCAUGGGUGCUAGGGAAGGGCAUAGGAUCCUCUGAAACUGGAGUUACAGAUUGUUGUGAACUGUCAUAUGGGUACUAAGAGUGGAACCAAGGCCCCCUAGAAAACAAACUAGUGUCCUUAACUGCUGAAAGAUCAGAGGUACUCCCUAUAGAGAGAGUUUUAUUUGUACCAAGAAUGUAAGGACACAGAUAUUUUUGGGACACUCUUGGCAUUGCAAUUCAAUCAUUAUCAAUAUACAAUUCUGGAGAAAAAUGUGUCUCAAGGCUACUACUGUAGCUAUUUUACAACAAAAAAUUACUAAACAGUUCAUCAAAUGAGCAACAUUUUCAAAUGAAUAAAAUUCCCUUUGGCCAAAUGAAUGUAAUUAAUAAAAAUGGAAAUUUACUUAUUUUUAUUUGUCCCAAGUACUUGUAGAAUAGACCAAAUAUUGGCCUAUGACUGACUUAUCUAUCUUUUUCUAAUUCUUUAUCCAGAGCAAGACUCUGAAAUCUUCCUUUUUGGUAUCUGCAUGGUAUAAUACUUUGUCUCCAGAGCCAAUAAGAUGAUUCCAUAAAGAACUGCUUGUAUGAAGGCAUGAUCAGUCAAAGCAAGAUACACACUUCUGAAAAUAAAUAGUAAUACGAAUACAUAGUGUCUCUACAAAAUGUGUCCUAAGUUAUGCCUCUUGAUUUAAAAAUCAUAUAAGAUCUUUGAAUAAUUAGUACUAUAUAAAACCUAUCCAUUUUUCUGAUACAAAUAUUUAGUUUUGCAUUCCUUAUGCUGCAAUGAUCCCAGGUCAUUCUACCAGCAAUGUAUACUCUGAGGACGCUAGAAGCAAAUGUCAUUGCUGUUCCAGAUCUGCUUGUGUGCAAGUAGUCUGCAAAUCUAGCUAUGUUUAAGUUUCAUGCUUAGAUGCACUUUGCCAAUGACAUUAUCUACCAGAUUUUAAAGGAACACUGUUUCUUGUGGACAGGAGCCAAAACAACUUUUCUCUCAUUCUUCUAUUUACCUUUCCGUUGCUGCUGGCUCAGAGAAUUCUCCUUACUAUCACUCAGACAUCCUUCAUGUUUCUAUCUCAGCACAUACUGUCCUAUUUGUAGGCACUGCACUUACUCUGGCUCCAUGCUGACGUCAGUUCAACCUGUCAGUCCUUGGAGUCAUGUGGCAAAUCUAAGGAUGUUUCUGCCGUUUCCAAAGACUUCUCUCAUUCCUCUCAACCUUGCACCAGCUUUCCUAAUAACUACUUGUCAGUUCUUAUUCUUAAUUAUCACCAUUGUCUGGCUUACAGAAAUACUGCAUUUCUCACCAUAUUCCAAACCUGGAAGCACCUCUGGGUAUUUCUUAGUAUCAUACCUGUGACAGAUACUUCUAGAAGUUCCUCAGAACUUAGUGUGUCCACAGGAAGUUUUUCAGGAAGCCAGUAGAUUCUGUCCUUUAUCUAUAAAAGGGCUGGCUCAUUUGAAGAGGAAAAGGAUGAUGGCUUUCUACGUUUGGGAGUUGUACACUGAUAUCCAAGGGAAAUUUUGGAUGGAUACAGGAGAGACUGGGGAUGAGAACAUUCUGAUGGGGUGUGCAAGGUCAUGUGACCAUUGGGCUUGAGAGAGAAGUGUUUUGAACUCUGUUUUCAAGGGAGAUACAUAUACAUUUCUUUUCUACACUGUAGAGUAAUGGUACUAUGGUCAUUUAAAGGAGAGGCUAACAAAACACAAGAACUUUAUCUGUGUUCCUACCCAAAGGAUGCUAGUUCUGAUUCAACCACAGCGAUACCCAGGAGAGUGGGGUCUUAGUCAGCAGGAUGAUGAACACAGCCAAAUCAACACAACAGCUAACAAUAGGAUGUCAGUGAAGGAUAAACUGCUUUUCCUCCCAGAGAUGUGGCUCCUGAAUGUCUAUGGUGUGGUAUUUUGAGAAACAAGAAAGCCUCUGCGGAAUGACUGAGGAGGAUCAGAGGACAUCACUGACUUCCCCAGCUAAGUAUAAGAGCUGAUAAAGAACAGACCCAGUCCAGCCUGCCAUGCCCACUUGCUCUAAUGUAGCCAUUCUAGAAGCUUUCAUCACUGGCAUGUCUACCAAAGCUAGGGCAUAACAUGCCAGAACAAACACUUAAAAACCUAAGUACUGAGGCUAUGCAGAUGAUAUGCAUAUUCAAAUGGCUCAUAGGCAAUUACAUGUUUAUCAUAAUCCUAAACUGGGUUUCUAAUGCCCUAAUUUAAACCUAUAUUUGCUGUUACCUUCCUUUUACUGAAUCUGAUACUAUUAUUGAAAAGGUAUUCUGUAUUUUAUUGCCUCUAAACAUAUCUUAAGUAAAACACAUUUUAAUGGUCAAGUAAGUAAAUGCAGGCAUGGCUAAAAGAGGCCUUUUCAAACCCCACCCCCACCCCGAGUCCUUGGGUCAUAUAAGUGACACGCUACUAAGGAAGACAAAAGAGACCUCGAAGUAAACCGUUAUUCUUUGCUUUCUAUCAAAUUAAAUUAAACCCAACAAAUGGCCAGAACCUCAGUGGAAUGAGUUACAGAUUGUAUCUCAUGCCUAUGAAAAAUGAGACUUCAGGGAAACCUUUGUGUUUCAACUCCUCCACAGUAAAAUCGUAUCUUCAAACCAGUCACACCUAGUCCCAUUUUCUUGCAAAAUCCAAUCCUCUACCACAUCUUUAUUCGUGUACUAAUCAAUUAUCAUUUAAGGGCACUGACAACCAGAACCGCCCUGCGACUGCUCUUAUCAUCCUUGCCUCACCAGAAGAUAGAAUACUGCAAGGUAGCCAUUUAAAAAUUAUAAAAGAGGGAAAAACACAAGAAAACUACUUCAUAAAAACAGACACCAUAAAGGUUGAGACACGGAGAAAAAAAAUUAAAUUGCCUUCACUGGGGGAUCCAUUCUGACAUCUGUGCCACUUGAGGGUAAUGGGUAAGCCAUAUUUUAAAAAUAAUUUUUUAACAAAUCUCAGCUAGAUUCAGAUCUUAAGAGAUGUAGUUAGGAAGCUAAAUAUAUUGCCAAAGAAAGAUGAGGGAAAAAGAAAAAGACUCUGCUCUGUUCUUCUUAUUUAGAAGACCAAGGAACACCUAUGAUGAAUUUUGUUCUGGCCAAUGAGGAUGUGGUGGCCUGAGUGUAGGGAUUAUAAUCUACAGAAUGUGAAAUAAAUGUGAUGGCUAUUACACACUGUCUUAGCCCUUAACAUCCUCUGUGAGAAUGUCUGCGUAAAAUGAACUCUUCUGACACACCGCUGAUCACACACCUUAUGGGAAACAUUAUUCAAAGUACCUAUAAAGGCUGACAAUGACUUCCAGAAUGGCUCCUAUGAACUUCUGCCUCAACUGAGAAAAUCUGCAGCAAUCUCACACCUCAUAUGAAAAGACAGAAAUGAAGGUGUCCCUUCUCACUUAAUAACCUUGAUCCUCACCUUAGUGGAACUGACUAAAUGUGUGGCUGGAACUCUCAGGCCAGUGUGCCCCAAUGGAGAACGUUUAAUGCUCAUGGUAGGCAUCACUAAUUGAUUACUACUCAUGUUUUACCUAGCCCAUACUUAAUGCUCAUGCACAGCCUACUCCACAUACACAUCAGCUAUGACUUAUGAAUGGUAGCUUGCAAUUACAAUUCUUGUCUCUUUUCCUCUUCAGAGAGGGGAGAAUUAAGAGUCAACAAGGAGAAGUUAAUUUCUGACCGCUGCAAAGAUAGUUAAUGGCCAUACUGGCUGCUACAUUCACUACAAAUUUCUCUGUGACCUUUUGAUUUCUAAUCUGCUGCAGGAAUUGGUAGGAAAGAAGCUUUAAGCCUGAUUAGUGAUGGGAGGAAGACUCUGGACUAGGGAGGAGAAAGAAGAAAGCAUUAGUGCGAAGUUAUUCCUGGCCCCACCCUUCCACUUUCACCUAAUGGCCUAACUCAUCUUUUACACCCUUACUACAUUUUUUACUCUCUGGACUAUUCUGAGAACUAAGCAAUCACUUCUAUGCUGACUUUCAAGUCUUUCAUUUGUUUCCUUGGAGAACCAUCAAGGUUGAUUUGUGCAGGCUUUAUUUCUGGUUUACCAGGUUAUGUGUUAUUUAAGGACAGUGUGCUUCUUUUCUUACCAUUGCAUGGAUGCUAAUUCUUCAUCAAGGUACUUUUCUCAUUAGCUAUAUAAAAAUAGUGGGACAAAUGGUAUAGAAGAAACCAUAGCAGGUAGUGAAGACACUAUGACUGGUUUGAUGUCAUAUUCAAACAAGAUCUUAAGUCCUUCUCUCAAGAUACGUUCUAAUAUCCCACAGCACACUUUCUUGGUAUUAAUCUCUUCACACGAGAGAACUGAUAAAAAUAUGAUUUCAUUAUUGCCACUGGAGAACAGGAUGGAGAUGAGGGUUACAAAUGUAUGUAGCAAAAGGCUGGGAGUAUAGUUCUUGCUACCUAGACAAUGUGAAUCUAAUUGUAGGUGGAUUUCCCCAGUACAAACCCAAACCAAGAUGGAACAAAACUAAAGUCAGUUUAGAUGCCAGCAUCUUUUCUUCCCUUCCUCACAAAAUUAUUGAGAAGGUUUAUGAUAUGAAGCACAAAUUCUGGUUCUCUCUAUCUAUUUUCUUUCUCAUUCAAAGUGUUCUUUGAGGAGUGAUGGUGCUUUUAUAGAGAAUAAGGUGAGUUUUACAAAUAGUUAAUGGCAGCUUGCUUGCUUUGAUAUACCUUAAAAAUUGACUAGCUACAGAGUAAUAUGCCACAGGGAUGGUCAUAGAUGCCAUAUUAUUUCAAGGAAAUUCAUAUUAGUGGGAGCAAGGAAAAGUGUUUCUAAGAGAUGAGCCUGUACUGUUACAUGAGAAAGAACAAGUAUAACUUUGAAAAUUUUAAGAUGAAUUUGCACACGUGUGUGUGUGUUUGUGUGUGUGUUGUGCAGUAUAUAUAUAUGUAUAUAUAAUAUAUAAAAUAUAUACAUAAUAUAUAUUAAUAAUAUAUAUAAUGUGUAUACACGCAUAUGUGUAUAUAUAAAUAUAAAUAUAUAAAAAUAUAUAUACAUAAUAUAUAUUAAUAAUAUAUAAUGUGUAUACACACAUAUAUAAUAAAUACAUACAUAAUAUAUAUUAGUAAUAUAUAUAACGUGUAUAUACACAUAAUAUAUAUAAUGUAUAUACACACAUAUGUGUGUAUAUAUAUAUAAAUAUAAAUAUAUAUAUAUAUAACUGAAACAUAAAUUUCAAGCUAAGGAAAUGCAUUUUGCGUUUAAAAAUAAGCAUCACUUAAACUAAACAAGACACAUAUUUGUUGAGAGCUAGUUUGUGCUGGGCAGUACUGCAGAGGCAAACCAAUGGAGCCUACUGAACUACUUUAGAAAAUUUAGCAAAUAGCACAGUACCUGUGGGAAGACAGGUGGAUAUGAUGGAAGCUAAUAUCAUCCUCCUUCACCAUCAGUUUUUGUUUCAAGUUUGACUAUUACAUACUGCUUCCCCAGUUUACUCUUACAAGCAAAAUGGGGGGGGGGGCCUUGGGAGUCAAACCUACCUGGGUCCAAAUCCUUGCUCUGCCACCCAACAGCUUUGAGACUAUGCAAGGCUACUAGACGUCACCAAGUCUAGAAUGAAGUCAUAGGUAGUGAGAAUAUCUUCAUUUAAUAGCCUCAUUGUUUCAAAUUCUGUACAGUAAUGCCUGCAUAAGGCUUAGUGUGGUUCCUGGCACAGGAUAAGUGCCUAAUAGAUGUCUCCCUUACUACUGUUAUCACUAACAGUAAUGACCUCUGCUAGAAAAGUCAAAUAUCUUUAAUUACCCAUUAAAUUUCAAAUUAUUAGAUUCUCCUGUGUGUAAUUGUUACAAAUCAAAAUAUCACACGUGGGAUAAGAAAUACAAUCCCAUGAAAGAAUUGGCCCACAGUAAAUGCUUUAAUUAAGUGCUAAUUAAAGGUACCUACCUUAAAACUUGUGCUUAAAGUACACCUGUAGAGCAAGUGCAGUUUUUCAAGUUAAUCCUGUCACUCUGACAUUUCGAAUGUCCUCAAUUACUCCAAGUAAAGGAAAACAAUCUCUAAAUAAAUCUCCCAUGUGAAGAAACAGAUUUGCCGGCGACUCAAGGGGGAAUGAAGCACUAUUCUCACUACAAUUAGGAUUUUUAAUAUACAUACUUUAAGGACAAUUAGUCUACAGUCAAUGGCUAUUACAGGAUCUGACAGUUGCGAGCAAUCUCCCGAGGUGGUGAAAACAGAGGAGAAAGAUGACCUUUAUUUGGCAGAAUGGAAAGCAAAACUCCCUGAACAUGAAAAGAAAUGUCACGUAUUAGGGAAAAUCUCACACUUGUGGCACUAAGGCAUAUACAUAAAUUUGCGAGACAGAGAGAAUCACACAACUACGGUUUGUUUGGUAAAGUGGACAAAACAAAGGGAAGCAGCCACUAACACUUUUUACUUUAAUUUAUGACAGUCCGUAAUUAUGGCCUGUUUCUUGUUCACAAUGACAGCUUACAGUGUGUGUCUCCUAAUGGUUUGAGAUGGUAACACAAAGAGUAGAUGCCCCACUCUUUCUCCCUGUCUCUAUCUUUUUUUUUCUUCCUUCUCCUUUCAAAGACUGACUGUGUGGAGACAUUAAGAUGUGGUUCAUAAUUUAAUUGAGCUGAGGUUUACACUCAUAACUAAACAAUAAAGUUAAAGUAAUGAGUUUCAAUCACAGGACUGUAGCACAUGGUUUAAUUUACAUAGAUAAUUAAAAUCACCACCCCUACUGUCCUUCUUUUGUACUUGAAACUGUACUAGCAAGAUAGCUAGAUAUUACCAGUACCCCCUUUCCAUUAAAGGGAAAUGAAGGACCCACAAAGGGAGUGGGGAGCCAUUUUAAUCUAAUUCACCAACCUCUUCUCAAAAGUAAAACUGCUUAAAAUGAAAUGCAUUUAGGCCAAUUGUUUUUUAACUUUCAAGUGAAAAUUAUCUGUAUAAUUAAGGGAAGUUUAACACACUGGCUAGGUUCUUGCUACAGUAGAAAAGUUUCACAUCUGCCUAUACUUUCCCCAAGUGCCCUGCAGGAAUUCCUUAGUCAGCUUGUCUUGAGUAUCAUUAUCUGCUGAGUCACAGGCUCCUGCUGUGGGCAGUAAUUUCUCAUUCCACUAAUCACUCACAGGCUAUUAUUUAACUGCCAGAGUCCCAUAGUGGAGUGACAAGUUCUAAUUUUAUAGCUGAAGGACAAAGAAAGUCUACAGAGGAAUAAUCUCUAUGGAUUUCAUUUUAAAACGAAACAUCCACGUGGAUUCUCGCAUCACACUUGCGGUAGUUGUUAUUACCCAUAAACCUCUUUAGACAUCCAGCUACAGCAACCUGCUGAUUGUUUUGGUUUUCCACUAGCUUUCCGUGAGCUUUGCAACGAAAGUUCUGGCAAAGCAACGUGAUACCGUUUGACAGAAUUGAAGGGGAAGCCAUUAUUGCUGAUGACACUAAUGCCACCAUUUGCACAAUGUCACUUGGGCCAAGCCAGAGAUGGGAUGACUACAUUCAUUCUGAACUGUGGGUCUACAGUUCCUGACAGGCGUUUCACGGUCCUGCCUUAGUGUAUGUCCUAUAUUUUAGAGAGGUUGAGAAUUUCUGUAAGUGAUGCAUGCUGUGCUGUAUAUAGUACAGGUAUCUUUGCUAGAUGACAUUGCAACUUUAACAUUUUAUUCAAUAAUUACACCAUGACAGUAUUAAAACCCCAGUCAAGACUGACAAACCUUGUUGUCAUGGGGAGUGAUGCAGAGUUUGGAUCCACAGCCCACACCUACUGAGCUGCUUACGCUGACAAAUUAAACAACUAAAAUCAUUUGUGAGUAAUGUUGCUUACGUUGGUUCUGGUGAAAAAUUCUUUUGAUUUUCUGACAGAGAGUUGCUAUUCUAUUUGUCUGAAAUCAAGAGAUAUUUAGCAAGAUUACAAAUAGCAUGAGGAUUACUAAUAGGUGCAUGCUUGCACUUUGAGAUAAUAUAUGCGAAUCUACUUCAAUUACAAAAUAUUCUCCUGACAGCUUUUGGUUUUUUUACUCUAACAAUAUGGAACAAUAAUUAACUGAUAUGUUAUAGUAGAAAGUUGCUUAAUUCUGAUAGUUAAAUAUGUGAAGAAAGAUUUAUAAGUUACUAAUAAACUAAUCUGUUUUUUAAAAAUUAAUUUUUAAACUAAUUAAAAAAUAUUAGGUGUGUUUAAACAGUGAGUUUAAGAUGUUGGAUAAUUUUUCAUCCCAGAAACUUGUGUCCAGAAAUAUCUUCAAACACUAUAACACAUUUGGUACUAUUUAUGAAUAUAUAAAAAUCAUUUAUAUUCUGUAAUGAGAAAUUAAGAAUUCAAUGAAGUGAUGUGAAGUGGCUAAACGGAUGGUUUUAAAGACUUCUUCUGUUUUUCUACUCUCGCUUACAUUAAUGAUGGGAUUUGGACUCCAGAAAAUGGAAGAGAAGGCAGGCAACCCUUAAGCAUCAUCAUACCAAAUGAAUUCCAUCACUGCAAAUGUGACUGGAUUGCUCAGUCUUAUUUACUAAGAGUAGUUUUACAUAUAACUUCAGAUAUCAGUGUAUUGGUAACAGCAAAAUACCAAGUUACUUUCCUUCACUGAUUGGCACUGACCUGUGGUCCAGGUGUUUUUGUUUCCAGCCUGAACUAAAAAACUAAGCUUCACAGUUAGGUGUAGUUAGAUCAAUCCUUUCUAAAUUAUGUACAGUGCGGGCAUCCCAGAAGAAUCAUAAAGAUGUUCACAAAUAGGGAGAAAGAGUGAGUGCAACUGCGUACAUUCACUAGCUCAGCUAUCAUUAUUCUGACCAUAUGCUAAUAACCCAGUCAGUUUCCUGGAGUCUAAAAAUCUCUCCUAGAGCAUCUAAGAAGAACACCACACACUAGCAAUAAGAACACAGGAUGGAACCACUACUGUAUACCAAAGAAUUCAUGUCCUCAACCAGCCACUCUGGUAUUGUCAUUUCUGUCUGACACGAAUGCCUCUUUUCACUUUUCCCAUGAAUAAGUGCCCCUCAGAAGUCUGCAGCCUGAUUUUAACCAUCAGUUCCCUAUAAGAAAUUAUUUUUUGUCCAAGAUCUAACUUUUCUUACCACCUCCUUCAUUAUCCCUCACAGAAUCUGUGAAAACAAGUCAUUUCAAAGCUUUCCGGGGUCUGAACUUUCUGUCUGCCUCCUUCAUGUUUCUGAUGGGGGUUGAUACAUUUAUUUAGGAAAUGCAGAGUUUUUGGUAUGGAUGAAUAAUGAAUAAAUGAAAGCUCAGUUCAUGUCACACCCAUGUCAUACGUGUCUUAGGACAUGUCUAGAUUAUAUUUACAUGAACUUUUUUUUCUAACAACAUAUUUACUCUACACUUUAAAUGGCCUCCCUCUCUGUUAGCUUUUGCAUGAGGGCUGACCGACAAAGCAAUGUUUUUCCUUGUUCCCACUAUUUUUUUUCUCUAUAUAUUUUUUUGAAAUACCUAGUUUUCAACAGUAAAUUUGCAAAGAACUAAGUAGUAGUUUAUACCAUCACACAUUCUCUGCUCUUGUGUGAAGCCUCACAAAAUGAUAUAAAUGGAAGAAUAAUCAUGGAUAUUAUAAACAUGUUUUGCAUUUGAGUAAUUUGCACAUGUUAAAGAUUUGAUGUAACUAAUAAUUCAUCAGCCUUUUCCACAUGCAAAGCAAGAAAAUGAUAGCAUCAGUUUGAAUAUCAGACACAAUGAUGGCAGGGCAGCAUUCAAUCAUCCAUGCUAAUGGAACAGAUACAAUCAUCCCCACCAAUAAAGGAAGGCACAGCUCUUCUGGGCCUCUGGUUUGUUCUUUCCUUUAGAAAUGGAAGAACCCAGAAGUUCUAAUUUAAAAAAAUGUGGAAAUAUGAAAAUGCCACUUCUCUUUUUGUCUCUGACUGGCUCUUUCCAUUGUGGUCUCUUAAAAGAAUAUGAGGAACGUCCUUCAGAGAAAAGGGAAAAAAAGGUAAAGGGGGUGGGAAGAGGAAGGAAAAGCAAGUUUGGACCGUCGGAGUGGAAGGAUCAUGUGCUCUAGGUCAACCUCUGCAUCUCAGGGAGACUCUGGAAGCUUAAAAAAGAAAAAUAAAGGGCUAGAAAUUAUGCUGCAUUUUAGGACACCUGCCACCCAUGUGUACAGCUCUGGGUUCAAUAUCUACAGCAAAAAAAAGAAAAAAAAAUUAAAAAUCACAGAGACCUCACCAGAGAUAAUAAUGUAUAGAUAUUAUCAAUACACCCUGAGACAUCCCAUGAGGAAUUUUCUUUUGGAAGACAUUUUAUACCACGUAGCAGAGAGUUUCAAGUAGCAGGAAACAUGGCUACAUUUAUUCUGGAUUAUGCCCAACAACUAGAGACAGGUCUAAUCUCCAUAUUAUCCAGAGGCAGUAAUAAGGUUCCCCAAAGCAGCCAGAAUUUUACGUAUACACCCCUGUCUGCAGAAUUGCUCAGUGUUUCCUACUCGUCCAUCUCCAAGUGGUUAAAGCAAUAUUUCUUCCCAUGAGAUGCGUGUAAUUUUUCAUUAUAUGGUUUCAAAUCAAGCUCUCGUCUUAGAAAACAGAAACAGAAAAUCAACAUCGGGAAGUAUUAUAGAUUUUGCAUGUCUAAAUAGCUGUGAUGAAUUAGUCACAGUUACAAUGAACUGUAGGAAAAAUCUACAGGCAAUAUAUUGCUUUUGCAAUUUUUAUAUUAAAGUAAAAGAAAACCCUCAAGUAAUAUUAUAUAAUAAAUUAUUGUAACAUUGGUUGGCGGUAAAAGUAAUUUAAAUAAGAUUAAUUUAACAACCUUUAAAUAUCAAUAAGUAAUAAAUAUCUUCAUGCAUGGGGGUCCACAUUUCACUUUAUUUAGAAAUAAUGAAUAAUGCCAGUGCCUAAUAUAAUCCUAAUAACAGAAUAGGAACCCUCUGCACUUUAAUAAUUUCCAUUAGAAGAAAUCAAGUGCCUCUUCCAUUUGACAGAAGCUGCAUCUGGUCUGUAUUAGGAAGCAAAUGUGCAGAGGUUUCCAGGUUAACUUGGCAAAGGAAAAACAAAAGAAGCUCAAGGAAACCGCGCAGGCAGGCACAUGAUGCAACCAGAUUCAGGCCCUUGCUUUUGCAUUGGACACUUCUGAAACCUGAAGGCAUGUGCUGCCGAGAUCCAGAUAUAAGCUGCUUUGGAUGGUGAGGUUCAGGUGCCCCUGGCCACUUAUUUAGUAGUAUUUAUUUUCAACAUGCACAAUAGGAAGGAUAUUAGUCUCCUAUUGUUGUCGCAACCCUUAAGGUGCCACCUCAAUUCUUAUCAUCUUCCUCUUUCUUCUCUCACACCUCCCCUCACACCUCUUUAAAGGCCCAGUUCCCACCGAGGUACUGUCUGGGUGCAGAAUUUGUCGUGUAAGAAAAAGAAAGCCUCAAAAUUGUAUGUGUUGCAUAUUCCUAAUGACCUUUCAUUCAAUGCUUUCAUUUUUAAUAAAAAUUUAUAAUAAUUGCACUGAUUUUGUAUUAUGUGGCAUAAAGUGGGUGGGGUUUUUUGUCUUUUUUAAUUAAAAUUUUUUUUGACAUAGGAUUUCAACAUGAAGGUGAGAAAGACCCGAGACUCACACUCUUCCUUCCACAGACUCUUUAGUGCUGGGAUUGUAGGUAGGCCGGAAGGGAUCUUUUUAAUUUUUAGCUGCGUAUUAUACUUCUAAAUGUCUCACAGUAAAAGAGAUUACUUUGAUUUGUAAUAGGCAACAACACAUUACCCACCCCACCCCACCCCCAAAUAUAUUCUUACUCUUCACUCUACCUAGAAAGAGAGAAAGGAAAGAAAAUUUAGUUAGGAAAGUUGAUGCAGGGAGAUCGGAAGUUCAAGGUCCACCCUAAGAAAUUCAUGAAGAAAACAUUCUUGUGCAUCUUACAUAAGUGACCUGCACUGAGCAAAGUAGUGGGUGUUACAUAAUUCAGGCACUAAGGAUUAAAGGAGUGUGAGAGGAGGGUAAGCUGGGCGUGAGUCAGUGGUCAGCACUACAGUGGGGCAUCUGUUCAGAAGAGCGCAAAAGUGAGAGCCAUAACCAUGGAGAGCCAAACUGAAACACAGAGACCAAACAGGUGCAGGAACUAACUCUUGGCAAGCUGAGUUUGAGGUCGAACCUGAAAAAGAGGCUUCAGAAACAACGAGGGAUGGUUGCUCGGCCCCAUGUACCAAGAAGGGUGAAGUGGACUUUAAAAAACAAUUUAGUUAAGCAAACCAACCAACCCCAAACAAAACACAACUCCAUUAAGGAAGAGAUUAUUUUGAUUUAUUUAAAUCUUGUGUACUAGAUAAAUGAUGUAUUGUUACAGUUGUCCUCAAAGGUAGUGUGCAAAACCUCUGGAGGUCUGUUAGAAAAUGGUUUUAAAGUCAAAAAAAAAAAAAAA